rnacentral:lncRNA from 1 species
UAGAUCAUCAUCCACGACCGACGACGACGACCGACGAGGAACUUCUGAACUUGUGUCUGCUGCUAUUAGGAAGGAGGUCUUGCUCUGCUUGCUGCUUUGCAUGCUGUGUGUGCGCGCGCUAUGCCUGUGUUGCUGUUGCUGCUGUUAGGAGGCUGACAUAUCUAUAGAACGAACCCUAAAUUUAUAGAGCUCUUUUUUUUGCCUUCUUUUCUUUUUGCGUUUUGAUUUUUGAUCUCUCUCUUCUCUCGGUGGAUGUAAUAUAGUAGUAUGUACUACCACUGGAACAAAAAAAGCACUGGACCGGCUUGCGCUUCGUUGUUGUUCUCCGGACUGAUGAACUCCUCAGAUCAUCAUGUAAUGUUAUAUAUAUCACACCGCUAUUGUACAAUAUCAUGCGUGCAUGGUCUUCGCGCAAUGUUGAUCUACUCGAAGGCCGAUUUGUAGGGCAAAGUCGGUGAAGAGCUUCAUAUAUCUUGAAAAUUUGGAAGCCCAGCUCUCUAGUCAGUACUAACAUUUUGAAGUGGUUAGCGACCGUGCUAUGGAUACCAAAGUUCUUGAUGUCAACUCACAACAAUAGCUUACCUUGAGAAACAAUGUCCAUAGUAUGAGGGUGAAAUCAACAGCUUUGAAAUGCAUAUGAUGGCCAUUAAACGACGGCGCAUGUAAUGAAUUCGGACGAGCAUAUCUUGAGAAGCUGAAGCUUCACAUCUCCUGCUCAUAUUGUAGUGAAAAAUUCCGCAAUGUAUACCAAAGUUCAACCUGAGAGAACAGUAUCUAUAGUGCAUAGUACGAGGGGAAGUCAACAUCUUUAUAAAGAAUAACAAUGUACAUGCACUAUGUAAAGUCGUCCUAUCAAUUUCAGAAAACUUGCCUUCUGACUUGGUCAGGCAACGUCGACGUACGCGCGUCAUUACCCUGUUGCAGGUGCUGGUUCAAAUGUCAGCGUGGUUGGACUAUACAACGUCGGAGACUUGAGCGCCGGUUCCUUCUUCAAGGUGUUUUCGUGGAGUGUUGCGUCGUUUGUUUGCUAAUAUAUCAUCGUCGUUUUUUUGUUUGAAGUUAUGUCAUCAUAGGUUUGGUGGUACGAUUUGGGGAUGCUGUCGCGAGGCAUGUCAUGUGUGGAUGGCCUCAAGUUUUUCUUUUUUUUUUAAGUUGAUUUGUUUGACGUUAUCAAUUGGUAAUAAUAUAUGGUUGUGUGCAUCACUAGAUGCAGAGGGCCGAAGAUGCUUUAUUUUCAGAAAUAAAGUUUGGUGCCAUGAGCUCUUUUUCUAAGAAAAAUAUAUAUUUAGUCAGAAGCAUAAGUAUUGACCUUGCAAAAAAAACAUCAGUAGUGGUAAAAUUGAUGCAGAGCAGAGGUACUGGAAAAUGACCUGCCACGAUGGACCAUAGGACGCACAGUAAUGGCCGAUCUGGACGUGGUUCGGGCGGGCCAGUCGAUGGAAGGGAAGCUGACGGCACCGAAUCCACCAUGGCUGCUGCCUAGCGACCGCCUGCCGUGCCUGCUCAUGCGGUCAUCAAUGGCUGCCGUGGCCUUCACCUACGUGUCUCCCAGAUAUUUUCAUUUCCCCUCCCGGCCAAGCUACUGCACAUGCAGCCAUCAAUUGCACUGGUCAGUUAGGGCAUCUUCAAUACCGAUCCGCAAACCUCCCACAACCAUGCGAACCACAUAAGUCAUCCAAACGCGGUUAUGUAUCGAUCCGCAGAGUGGUCCGGACAUGAUUUCUCCCGUAAACCAGAGACAAAUCUGGGGAAGGUUUACGGGAGUCCGGACACGCGAAAUAUCGUUCUCCGCCCCUUGGUCCGUCCAAAGGAAGGCCAAGUCCAUGUUUUUGUAGCAUCCCGCACUGUUUUGGCACCAAAAUCCCUCACUCUUUUCUUCCACUCUCUGUUGCUCUCCGCCAAUUCCCGCUCUUUUCUCCCACCCUCUCCUUCCCUCCGCCGCCGACGCAUGGAACCGCCGGAGAACCUGUCAGAGAUGGAGCCAACGGAGGUGCCGGAGGAUCCGAGCAACACGCUCGCCCGGAAGAUCAGCUCGGAGAUGCGGCAAAAUCGCCGCGUCAAAGCAAUGGCCGCAAAGGAGGAGAAGCUGAGGAAGUGUCUGGCCGCCGGUGGCCCUGGUGGGCGUGGCGGACGGGGCGGUCGGCGAGGCCAUGGCGGACGCCACCAGAUGGGCGCGCCCACAGUACAGAUGGCGCCGUGGUCGGAGCCUUACAAGCCUUCGUACUACUAUGCCGCCAAGCAGCUCUCAAACCCCGUCGGUACAGUUCCUGACAUCGCCGACGUCAACACGACGUUGCUCUUCUCCGAGUAUCUUCACCGCCGCUCGUCCAGUCGAGGACGGCGAGUGGAGAGCAGAUGGGUGCCCGCACGCUGUUAGCUGUAAUGCCGGGAGCGGGGGAGCCAACGUACGACGCGGACAAGUAUAUGCUCGAUAUCAUCCACGACGGAGGCGAGGGAGGAGGAGGGGGCUAUGAGUAUGGGUAGGUGGAAGACUCGGAUCCUAUCCAGUCCAACAACUACCAGCAACAGCAGUCCUACACCCAGAUGGCGACGCAACAGUCCUACACUCAGACCGGCGAUGGCACACAACAACAAUAGCACUGGGCCGCCGGAGAGCAGCAUCCGAAGGGGGGAGGAGGAGGAGGACGACGACGGCGACGACGAUGAUGAUCGGAAUGAUACAGACGGCUAUCCGAAGAAUAAGGGUAGAGGAGCAAGCUUCAACAUGCAGGGACGAUGGGCCGUUGUGCGAAUCAUGGUUGGCUAGUAGCCUCCAUAUUGUCCAUGCCACGGAGCAAAAGGGCACAAUAUUUUGGAGGAACAUUCACAUAUGGUUCCAUGAGCACAAACAUUUCGUGGGCUAAUCCGAACCGUUGAUCCGUAACCGUGAGUGGAAGUCCCUCAACUAUCGAUGGUACACCAUCCAAGAGGCCGUCGCCAAGUAUUGCGGGCACUUGAAACAUCUCAUCGCAAGGUGGCCUAGCGCUGCACAUAUCACCAAGCAAGUAUGUUGAUCACUAGUCGGAUAUAAUUUGGUUUUGUUGAUCACUAGUCGGAUAUGCUUUAGUUUUGUUAAUCACUAGCCGGAUAUGCUUUAGUUUUGUUGACCACUAGCCAAACAGGUAUUGUUUUGUUGCUCACUAGACGGAUAUGCAUUGUUUCACUUUGUGGCCUACUCGUGCUUGUGUGAUGUACAAGAAGUUGGAGAAAAAGUCCUUCACCAUCAUGCAUUGUUGGUUGAAGUUGAAUGGGCAACCGAAGUGGAACAUUUUCAUUGCCAAGACCGCCGCCCAAGCUAACGAGGAAGAAACCGGUGACCCUACCGACCCAGCCCAAGAACCGCUGAAGAAGGUUAGAAGAAAUCUGCGGGGCAAGAAGUGGGAGGAGGAGAGGGCGAAGAAGGAAGGCGCAUGCGUGAGGCGCUCGAGCAUCAAGGAGGAGAGAAAGGCGAAGAGGUUCAAGCAGUUGAUGGAGGCGACGGAGAAGAAGAUCAAGCUCGAAGAGAGGAGGACCAUGAUCAAAGAGAGGAACGGGGCGCUCGAGGAGAAGAAGGCCGCACCCAAGGAAAAGAGGGUGAAGAUCGCUGCCAAUGCGGAGGACGCCAAGAUGUUGACCUUGAAUAUCGACUCUUUGGAUGCCGACGCUAGAAUUAUCAUGCAAUCUGUCCGCUACCAGAUAUUGGAGUGGCAGAAAGAUGAGUUGGCGGCAGAGGCGGACGCGGACGCGGAGGGUGCCUACGCGGCGACGACGACACCUCCUUCAUCGGGAAGCAUCUUGCUGGGAUGGCCGGUCCGGCAGGGCAGCAAUGCACGGACUGCCGGACUGAUGUUUUUUUUUUUUGGAUUCGGGCAUGUAAACACUAAGCAUAUUUGCCUCCUUUUGAUUGCGAUCGGGAAUGCGAUCGGUGUGAUCCGGCGCGUUGUGUGGAUCAACGUAGAUUUGAAUUUGAAUUUGCUGACGGAUAUAUAUAGGCUACGGUUGGAUGGCAUCCUUCCGUAUCCGUGUCCGCGGACUGGUCCCUGUCUGCGGAUGGAUGUGGGAGGAAUUUUACAAGCUGCCGUUGGAGAUGCCCUUACUAGUUAGUUGACUGGAAAAUUCUGAAUUCUGAAUGUUUGCUCGAUGGUCUUAGAAGACCGAACAGUUGGCCACCGUGGGGUCCAUCCGGUAGGACGAUCAAGGAGGAGGAGGGAGACUUGGACUUGCCACAAGGAUUCUUUUAUGAGGCCGUGCUUUUGACGGAAGCCGACGACGACCGUAAUUACCCGAGGCUCACUGGCACCGGAUGAGAAACACAUGGCUACGGCCGGUCACACCUCACACAUAGAUGAAAGCUUGAGUGCCGAUGGUGCCAAUGGAUGUGUUCAAGGUAAGAGGCAAUUGAGGGGUGACGAGGCAUGGGUGCAUAAAUGAGAAAAUGACAGAACAUGAUGGUGCUCGCCGGAUGCGUUCAUAUGGCCCUGGGAGCGUGGCGGUCUACUCGGCACAAUCGGCAUACACAACUUUUUUCAAAGGCAGGAGGGACGUCUCACGGUUGCGAUGACUUGGGGCUUUGGGUACUUCGAUCGGCUUGGGAUGUGAUUAAAAUGAAAAUGAUAAACAAGUUGUCGAGGGCUUAAGGUUUACCUGCAGUUGUGUAGAUGUGAUCCAAAUGCAAACUAUAUAAAUCAAUAUGGCACUCAUAAACACCAUUGAAUAGACCUUGUGCACGAACAAUGUCGAAAUGCAUCCAAAUAACCCUACAACUGACUACCGCUGCAUUGAGGUUCUAUUCUCCAACAAAGACCCUAUCCGACUCACGGAGUUACCUCGAUUAUUAAGGAUGGGUCUUGGAUGAAGACUUCGAAGAUUGUCAUAAGGAUUCUUUUAUUAAGCAUGCUUUUGACGGAAGUCAGUGACGGUGGGCAAUGGCGGAUCCAGGACCCAGGCCAUGUAGUGUAGUGUACUGUAGCAGGCCUGGGGCGUGGCCCAAUCCUAGCUCCGCCCCUGACCGUAGGUGCCCAAGGCUGACUGGCCCCAGAUGGAGAAAGGCCGGGGGAAGGGGGGUAUCAGGUGCUACUGCACAUAGGUGCUCCCAUGAAACAUUAAAAAAACAUAUUAGCAUGUUCCAAAAAUAUUCAAAGAAAAUUGUGAUUGUUCACAAGGCAUGUUUCUACAACCUGUAAAAUGUUCAAAUCAACAUCUAAAAUGCGCAUUGGGAAACAAAAAAGACAAGUUCAACAUGAAUAGUUGCGUCAUUUGUAUGCUAAUAUGUCAUCGUUUUGGUGGCAUCUGAGGAUAAUGCCGCAAGGUAUGUCCUAUGUAGAUGGCCUCUCUUUUUUCUUCUCAUUUUUCUCUCUGUAAGUCGAUUUGUUUGACGUUGUCAACAAGUAAUUGUAUGACUGUGCGCAUCACUCGGUGCAGAGGUCGAGGGUCUCUUCCUCUUAAAAAAAAACAGUUUGGGAAAUAAAACUGGAGGCAAUAAGCUCCUUUUUCUUAAAUACUCUCUCCGUCCCAAAAUUCUUGUCUUAGAUUUGUCUAGAUACAGAUGUAUUUAAUACUAAAGCGUGACUUGAUACAUCCAUAUUUAGACAAAUCUAAAACAAGAAUUUUGGGACGGAGGGAGUAAAAAAUAUUCCCUCCGUCCCAUAAUGUAAGACGUCCAAGCAGGGAGUAGAUCAGUAGUGGUAAAACUUGAUGCAGAGGUUUCUGCUACAACGGCCCGUGUGGACUCUGGAAAAUGACCUGACAUGAUGCACCGUCGGAGGCACAGUAAGGGCCAGUUCUUUUGAGCUAUGCUGUGGAAAUAAGCUCCCGUGAAAAUAAGCUCCGGAUAAGCUCCCGUGGAAAUAAGCUCCAGAUAAUAAGCUAGCCAGUUCUUUUCGGUGUCUAUUUUUCAGCUUAUCUAUGGUAUGCCUAGUGAAAAGUCUGUAAUGCCCUUGGACUAUAUUGUGUACAUUGAAAAAUAUAAAGGAAAAACUAAGAAUUUUGUUCAUAUACAUUGAAACAACCUCACUGCCAAUAUAAAAGAUACUACCACAAUACUGUAUGUAUAGUUCCAGCCCCAUUAUUCAGAAAUUAGGCACAAGUGUAGGAAUGGCUCAAAGUCCAAUGGCGUGUAAGAUCAUUGGUUCUAACAACCUUAGGCACAUAUGGGAGAAAUUACUACAUCUAAUCUGAAGAAAAAGAAAAAAAAGAAUUUGGGUGACAGGCAGAGGACAUCGGGCAUUGCUGCUCGAACGAGCUCCUGCUCGGGCUGAAGGGCAGCGCCUGGGCCCCGGGGGAAGAGGAACGGGGAGUCCACACAGCUAGUUCCGGCGUAGUUCGCCGGUGUGGGGCAGCCACCGGACUGAGGUGCAGCGGCUAGAGAUGGCCUAGCCGCCCUCCAUGUCCGCGACACCGGCGGAAGAGGAGUCGGGCAGGGCGGCUGACGGGACGGUCGGCGGUGGCCGAUGGGGGCCUACGGCAGCAGCGGCUUCUGAUGGGGGGCGGAGGCGGAGGCGGCGGCUGCUGAUGGGGGCCGGCGGCGGCGUGCAGAGUGACGAGGAACCCUAGCUAUCGCCCGUGCGUGUGGACGAACGCGAGGCAGUAGAGGAGCGUGAAAGGUUUUUUUCCCUUGGCCUGGGUCGGGUUGGGCAAGCGGAUGGGGCGCGGUGGCAUUCUCGCUGUAAAUUGUGUAACAAACAGGGGCAUUUCGAUCUACCCCUUCGAUUGUAAGUGGGCUUCUGCACGAAGCUGCCCUCCCCCAGCUUUUUUCCAUUGUGAAGAAAGUGACGAUGGAAAUAAGCUAAGCCCGAUCUCUCUAAUCGAGUUCUUUUGGGCUUCCAGCUUAUUUUCGCCAAAAGGUGCCAAAAGCCACAAAAGAACUGGCCCUAAUGGCCGAUCUCGACGUGCUUCGGGCCACUGGAUCGUAGAGGAAGCUGACGGCACCGAAUCCACAAUGCAUGGCUGCUGCCUGGCGACCGCCUGCCGUGCCUGCGCGUGCGGUCAUCAAUGGCUACGUACGGCUGCCUCGCGGGAGCCAUGCCGCUGGUAGACGUGCCUCUGUCUCCCAGAUAUUUUUCCUUUCCCCUCCUGGAUAAGCUAGGGCACAUGCAGCCAUCAAUUGCGGGUUCCCGUGGGAAGAUCAGCUUAAUUUAUUCGGGGUCUUUGUGUUUGUUAUUGUGAACGGCAACAGGAUCACGGCUGGCCUUUACUGGUCGGUUACUAGUUAGUUGAUGGGAAAGUCUGUGUUGGAAACGAGAGUUUGGCAAUGCUUCACGAUGUAUUGAUCGGUGCAAAACGCACGUAUAUAUGGAGUAUAAGGUGGGUCACAACCUCAACUAUACAAUGACUAGGAGGUGGGCCAGGCUAUACAAUAUACAUGCACAAAACCAUAUAUUCAACACCCCCUUCCCCGGCAGUCGAAGCGUCGCCGGAGACGCAAAGACUGGACCUGAACUCCUCGAAGAUAGAAGUAGGCAGUCCUUUUGUCAUGACGUCGGCGAACUGCUGCGCCGUCGGGACGUGGAGGACCCGGAUGCGCCCAAGAGCCACCUGCUCACGAACGAAGUGUAUAUCGAGCUCAAUAUGCUUCGUUCGACGAUGGUGGACCGGGUUGGCGGAGAGGUAGACGGCGGAGACGUUGUCGCAGUAGAUGAGCGUGGCCUUGUGAACAUCACAAAGCAACUCCUGGAGCAGCUGACGGAGCCAAGAGCAUUCAGCAACAGCGUUAGCCAUUGCUCGAUACUCAGCCUCGGCACUCGAGCGGGAGACGGUGGGUUGUCGCUUGGAGGACCAAGAGAUCAGCGACGGCCCAAGGUAGACACAGUACCCCGAGGUGGAGCGCCGUGUGUCCAGGCAGCCGGCCCAGUCCGCAUCAGAGUAGGGGACGAGGUCGGUGGAGGCGGAGGCCGUCAGCGUAAGUCCCAAGGACUGGGUGCCGCGUAUGCAUCGGAGGAUACGCUUCACCAGAGUCCAGUGAGAGUCGCGCGGAGCAUGCAUGUGAAGACAGACCUGCUGAACAGCAUACUGCAAGUCGGGGCGCGUCAGGGUCAGGUACUGCAAGGCGCCCACAAUGGAGCGGUAGAAUGCUGCAUCAGAUGCAGGCGAACCCUCCAAAGCGGAAACCUUGGCCUUGGUGUCGACGGGCGUGGGAGCGGGUUUGCAGUUAAGCAUGCCAGCUCGGUCGAGAAGCUCAUGGGCAUAGCGCUGCUGAUGCAGGAAGAACCCAUCUGGCCGCCGAACCACCUCAAUGCCAAGGAAGUAAUGUAGAGGACCCAAGUCCUUCAGGGCAAACUCAUCGCGAAGACGAGCAGUGAGCCGCUGAAGAAGUGCGACAGUGGAUGCCGUUAGAAUGAUGUCAUCGACGUACAGCAGCAAGUAGGCCGUGUCAACUCCGUGAUGAUACACGAAGAGGGACGCGUCGGAGCGAGUCGAUGUAAAUCCGAGCGUCUGCAGGAAGGCAGCGAUGCGCUGGUACCAGGCCCGAGGUGCCUGCUUCAACCCGUAAAGAGAACGAGAGAGCAAGCACAUAUGAUCUGGAUACGUGGCGUUGACGAAGCCGGUGGGCUGCUCACAGAACACCUGCUCAGCCAGGUGGCCGUGCAAGAAGGCGUUGGACACGUCCAACUGAUGCACAGGCCAAGCUCGGGACACGACUAGCUGGAGCACGGCGCGGAUCGUGCCCGGUUUAACAACGGGGGCAAAUGUGUCGGUGAAGUCCAUGCCCGCGCGUUGCCGAGAACCCCGAACCACCCAGCGAGCUUUAUAGCGCUCGAGAGUGCCAUCCGGACGAGUCUUGUGCCGAAAGACCCACUUGCCCGUGAUGAUGUUGGCACGGGGCGGCCGAGGAACGAGCUGCCAGGUACGGUUCCGCUGGAGCGCAUCGAACUCUUCCUGCAUCGCAGCGAGCCAAUGAGGAUCCCGAAGGGCGGCUCGAGCUGACGAUGGGAGAGGACACGGCUCAUAGACGGAAGCAGCGAGAAGGUACUCAUCGCUGGGGUACCGCGUGCUCGGUCGGAGGGUGCCAGCCCGAGAGCGAGUCAUCGGGCGGGGCAGCGGGUCCGGAGUGGUGACGGGCGACGACGAAGAAGAGCCCGCCUCCUCCGAGACAGCCGUGGGUGAGGCCACAUGCAAGUUCGCCGGCGAGGCGGCGGGCGAGACUGCCGCGGGCGAAGCGGCCGCGGGCGAGGCGGCGGGCGAGGCCGCCGGUGUGGUCGAGGCUGGGGACGCCAGGGGCGUCGCGGGUGCCGAGGGAGGUGCGGCCCCUAGGGCAGCCAACCGGGGAGAAACUCGACCCGUGGCGCAUGGGGCACCCUCAAACCCGGGAGGCGGCCCAAGAGAGGCACGGGAGCGGCCGUCACCGGGAGCGGGCAAAGCCGCAACAUCCGAAGGUACCUGCUGAAACGGAAAAACCAUUUCAUCAAAGUAAACGUGUUGUGAAGUGAUCACCCGAUGUGAGAUAGGAUCAUAGCAGCGGCAGCCUUUGAUGUUGGGGGGAUAGUCGAGAAAGAUGCAGGCCACAGACCGAGGUGCGAGCUUAUGAGGAGCAGUGGAAGCGAUACUGGGGUAGCACAGGCAACCGAAAAUGCGGAGCUCAGCAUAGGAAGGUGGCGUGCCAAACAAGAGGUGAUGAGGUGCAAAAUUCCCGCGAGUGCGACAAGGACGAAUGUUAAUGAGUAGUGAUGCGGUGGCGAGCGCGUCGGGCCAAAAACGUGGUGGCUGUUGGGAAUCGUAGCAUAAUUUUAAAAUUUUCCUACGCUCACCAAGAUGCAUCUAUGGAGUAUACUAGCAACGAGGGGAAAGGAGUGCAUCUACAUACCCUUGUAGAUCGCGAGCGGAAGCGUUCCAAUGAACGUGGAUGACGGAGUCGUACUCGCCGUGAUCCAAAUCACCGAUGACCGAGUACCGAACGGACGGCACCUCCGCGUUCAACACACGUACGGUGCAGCGACGUCUCCUCCUUCUUGAUCCAGCAAGGGGGAAGGAGAGGUUGAUGGAGAUCCAGCAGCACGACGGCGUGGUGGUGGAUGCAGCGGGAUGCCGGCAGGGCUUCGCCGAGCUUAUACGAGAGAGAGAGAGGUGUUGCAGGGGAGGAGGGAGGCGCCCAAGGCUGAGUUGUUGCUGCCCUCCCUCCCCCCUUUAUAUAGGCCCCUGGGAAGGGGGGGGGCGCCGGCCACAACCCAUCUAGGGCAAGGGGCGGCGGCCAAGGGGGGGGACUUGCCCCCCAAGGCAAGUGGGGCGCCCCCCCACCCUAGGGUUUCCAACCCUAGGCGCAGGGGGGAGGCCCAUGGGGGGCGCCCCAGCCCACUAGGGGCUGGUUACCCUCCCACUUCAGCCCAUGGGGCCCUCCGGGAUAGGUGGCCCACCCGGUGGACCCCCGGGACCCUUCCGGUGGUCCCGGUACAAUACCGGUAACCCCCGAAACUUUCCCGGUGGCCGAAACUUGACUUCCUAUACAUAAUUCUUCACCUCCGGACCAUUCCGGAACCUCUCGUGACGUCCGGGAUCUCAUCCGGGACUCCGAACAACUUUCGGGUUUCCGCAUACACAUAUCUCUACAACCCUAGCGCCACCGAACCUUAAGUGUGUAGACCCUACGGGUUCGGGAGACAUGCAGACAUGACCGAGACGCCUCUCCGGUCAAUAACCAACAGCGGGAUCUGGAUACCCAUGUUAGCUCCCACAUGUUCCACGAUGAUCUCAUCGGAUGAACCACGAUGUCGAGGAUUCAAUCAAUCCCGUAUACAAUUCCCUUUGUCAAUCGGUAUGUUACUUGCCCGAGAUUCGAUCGUCGGUAUCCCAAUACCUUGUUCAAUCUCGUUACUGACAAGUCUCUUUACUCGUACCGCAAUGCAUGAUCCCGUGACUAACGCCUUAGUCACAUUGAGCUCAUUAUGAUGAUGCAUUACCGAGUGGGCCCAGAGAUACCUCUCCGUCACAGGGAGUGACAAAUCCCAGUCUCGAUCCGUGCCAACCCAACAGACACUUUCGGAGAUACCCGUAGUGCACCUUUAUAGUCACCCAGUUACGUUGUGACGUUUGUCACACCCAAAGCACUCCUACGGUAUCCGGGAGUUGCACGAUCUCAUGGUCUAAGGAAAAGAUACUUGACAUUGGAAAAGCUCUAGCAAACGAAACUACACGAUCUUUUAUGCUAUGCUUAGGAUUGGGUCUUGUCCAUCACAUCAUUCUCCUAAUGAUGUGAUCCCGUUAUCAAUGACAUCCAAUGUCCAUAGUCAGGAAACCAUGACUAUCUGUUGAUCAACGAGCUAGUCAACUAGAGGCUUACUAGGGACACGUUGUGGUCUAUGUAUUCACAUAUGUAUUACGAUUUCCGGACGAUACAAUUAUAGCAUGAACAAUAGACAAUUACCAUGAACAAAGAAAUAUAAUAAUAACCAUUUAUUAUUGCCUCUAGGGCAUAUUUCCAACAGUCUCCCACUUGCACUAGAGUCAAUAAUCUAGUUACAUUGUGAUGAAUCGAACACCCAUUGCGUCCUGGUGUUGAUCAUGUUUUGCUCUAGGGAGAGGUUUAGUCAACGGAUCUGCUACAUUCAGGUCCGUAUGUACUUUACAAAUAUCUAUGUCUCCAUUUUGAACACUUUCACGAAUGGAGUUGAAGCGACGCUUGAUAUGCCUGGUCUUCCUGUGAAACCUGGGCUCCUUCGCAAGGGCAAUAGCUCCAGUGUUGUCACAGAAGAGAGUCAUCGGGCCCGACGCAUUGGGAAUCACCCCUAGGUCCCUAAUGAACUCCUUCAUCCAGACUGCUUCCUGUGCUGCCUCCGAGGCUGCCAUGUACUCCGCUUCACAUGUAGAUCCUGCCACGACGCUUUGCUUGCAACUGCACCAGCUUACUGCUCCUCCAUUCAAAAUAUACACGUAUCCGGUUUGUGACUUCGAGUCAUCCAGAUCUGUGUCGAAGCUAGCGUCGACGUAACCCUUUACGAUGAGCUCUUCGUCACCUCCAGAAACGAGAAACAUAUCCUUAGUGCUUUUCAGGUACUUCAGGAUAUUCUUGACCGCUGUCCAGUGUUCCAUGCCGGGAUUACUUUGGUACCUUCCUACCAAAGUUACGGCAAGGUUUACAUCAGGUCCGGUACACAGCAUGGCAUACAUAAUAGACCCUAUGGCCGAGGCAUAGGGGAUGACACUCAUCUUUUCUCUAUCUUCUAUCAAUAGUAUGUCAUCCACAUAUAAUAUGAGAAAUGCUACAGAGCUCCCACUCACUUUCUUGUAAACACAGGCUUCUCCAUAAGUCUGUGUAAACCCAAACGCUUUGAUCAUCUCAUCAAAGCGAAUGUUUCAACUCCGAGAUGCUUGCACCAGCCCAUAGAUUGAGCGCUGGAGCUUGCAUACUUUGUUAGCAUUCUUAGGAUCGACAAAACCUUCCGGCUGCAUCAUAUACAACUCUUCCUUAAGGAAGCCAUUAAGGAAUGCCGUUUUGAAGUCCAUCUGCCAUAUCUCAUAAUCAUAGUAUGCGGCAAUUGCUAACAUGAUUCGGACGGACUUCAGCUUCGCUACGGGUGAGAAAGUCUCAUCAUAGUCAACCCCUUGAACUUGUCGAUAACCCUUAGCGACAAGUCGAGCUUUGUAGAUGGUCACAUUACCAUCUGCGUCCGUCUUCUUCUUAAAGAUCCAUUUGUUUUCUAUGGCUCGCCGCUCAUCGGGCAAGUCAGUCAAAGUCCAUACUUUGUUUUCAUACAUGGAUUCUAUCUCGGAUUUCAUGGCUUCUAGCCAUUUGUCGGAAUCCGGGCCCGCCAUCGCUUCUUCAUAGUUCGAAGGUUCACCGUUGUCUAACAACAUGAUUUCCAGGACAGGGUUGCCGUACCACUCUGGUGCGGAACGUGUCCUUGUGGACCUACGAAGUUCAGUAACUUGAUCCGAAGCUUCAUGAUCAUCAUCAUUAACUUCCUCCCCAGUCGGUGUAGGCACCACAGGAACAUUUUCCUGCGCUGCGCUACUUUCCGGUUCGGAAGGGGUGACUAUCACCUCAUCAAGUUCCACUUUCCUCCCACUCAAUUGUUUCGAGAGAAACUCCUUCUCUAGAAAGGACCCGUUCUUGGCAACGAAGAUCUUGCCUUCGGAUCUGAGGUAGAAGGUAUACCCAAUAGUUUCCUUAGGGUAUCCUAUGAAGACGCAUUUUUCCGACUUGGGUUCGAGCUUUUCAGGUUGAAGUUUCUUGACAUAAGCAUCGCAUCCCCAAACUUUUAGAAACGAACUCUUAGGUUUCUUCCCAAACCAUAAUUCAUACGGUGUCGUCUCAACGGAUUUCGACGGAGCCCUAUUUAAAGUGAAUGGGGCAGUCUCUAAAGCAUAGCCCCAAAAUGAGAGCGGUAAAUCGGUAAGAGACAUCAUAGAUCGCACCAUAUCCAAUAGAGUGCGAUUACGACGUUCGGACACACCGUUUCGCUGAGGUGUUCCAGGCGGCGUGAGUUGUGAAACGAUUCCACAUUUCCUUAAGUGUGUACCAAAUUCGUGACUUAAAUAUUCUCCACCAUGAUCUGAUCGUAAGAAUUUUAUUUUCCUAUCACGUUGAUUCUCAACCUCACUCUGAAAUUCCUUGAACUUUUCAAAUGUUUCAGACUUGUGUUUCAUUAGGUAGACAUACCCAUAUCUACUUAAGUCAUCAGUGAGAGUGAGAACAUAACGAUAUCCUCCGCGAGCCUCAACACUCAUUGGACCGCACACAUCGGUAUGUAUGAUUUCCAAUAAGUUGGUUGCUCGCUCCAUUGUUCCGGAGAACGGAGUCUUGGUCAUCUUACCCAUGAGGCAUGGUUCGCACGUGUCAAAUGAUUCGUAAUCAAGAGACUCCAAAAGUCCAUCUGCAUGGAGCUUCUUCAUGCGCUUGACACCAAUGUGACCAAGGCGGCAGUGCCACAAGUAUGUGGGACUAUCGUUAUCAACUUUACAUCUUUUGGUAUUCACACUAUGAAUAUGUGUAACAUCACGUUCGAGAUUCAUCAAAAAUAAACCAUUGACCAGCGGGGCAUGACCAUAAAACAUAUCUCUCAAAUAAAUAGAACAACCAUUAUUCUCGGAUUUAAAUGAGUAGCCAUCUCGAAUUAAACGAGAUACAGAUACAAUGUUCAUGCUCAAAGCUGGCACUAAAUAACAAUUAUUGAGGUUUAAAACUAAUCCCGUAGGUAGAUGCAGAGGUAGCGUGCCGACGGCGAUCACAUCGACCUUGGAACCAUUCCCGACGCGCAUCGUCACCUCGUCCUUCGCCAGUCUCCGUUUAUUCCGUAGUUCCUGUUUUGAGUUACAAAUAUGAGCAACCGCACCGGUAUCAAAUACCCAGGAGCUACUACGAGUACUGGUAAGGUACACAUCAAUUACAUGUAUAUCACAUAUACCUUUGGCGUUGCCGGCCUUCUUGUCCGCUAAGUAUUUGGGGCAGUUCCGCUUCCAGUGACCACUUCCCUUGCAAUAAAAGCACUUAUUCUCGGGCUUGGGUCCAUUCCUUGGCUUCUUCCCGGCAACUGGCUUACCGGGCGCGGCAAAUCCCUUGCCGUCCUUCUUGAAGUUCUUCUUACCCUUUCCCUUCUUGAACUUAGUGGUUUUAUUCACCAUCAACACUUGAUGUUCUUUUCUGAUCUCCACCUCCGCUGAUUUCAGCAUUGAAUAUACCUCAGGAAUGGUCUUUUGCAUCCCCUGCAUAUUGAAGUUCAUCACAAAGCUCUUGUAGCUUGGUGGAAGCGACUGGAGGAUUCUGUCAAUGACCACGUCAUCCGAGAGAUUAACUCCCAACUGAGACAAGCGGUUAUGCAACCCAGACAUUCUGAGUAUGUGCUCACUAACAGAACUAUUCUCCUCCAUUUUACAGCUGAAGAACUUGUCGGAGACUUCAUAUCUCUCGACCCGGGCAUGAGCUUGGAAAACCAUUUUCAGCUCCUCGAACAUCUCAUAUGCUCCAUGUUUCUCAAAACGCUUUUGGAGACCCGGUUCUAAGCUGUAAAGCAUGCCGCACUGAACGAGGGAGUAAUCAUCAGCACGCUGCUGCCAAGCGUUCAUAACGUCUUGGUUCUCUGGGAUUGGUGCUUCACCUAGCGGUGCUUCUAAGACAUAAUCUUUCUUGGCUGCUAUGAGGAUGAUCCUCAGGUUCCGGACCCAGUCCGUAUAGUUGCUGCCAUCAUCUUUCAGCUUGGUUUUCUCUAGGAACGCGUUGAAAUUGAGGACAACGUGGGCCAUUUGAUCUACAAGACAUAGUGUAAAGAUUUUAGACUAAGUUCAUGAUAAUUAAGUUCAUCUAAUCAAACUAUUUAAUGAACUCCCACUCAGAUAGACAUCCCUCUAGUCAUCGAAGUGUAAAACAUGAUCCGAGUUUAACUAGGCCGUGCCCGAUCAUCACGUGAGACGGACUAGUCAAGAUCGGUGAACAUCUCCAUGUUGAUCGUAUCUUCUAUAUGACUCAUGCUCGACCUUUCGGUCCUCCAUGUUCCGAGGCCAUGUCUGUAAAUGCUAGGCUCGUCAAGUCAACCUAAGUGUAUUGCGUGUGUUCCGAGGCCAUGUCUGUACAUGCUAGGCUUGUCAACACCCGUUGUAUUCGAACGUUAGAAUCUAUCACACCCGAUCAUCAUGUGGUGCUUCGAAACAACGAACCUUCGCAACGGUGCACAGUUAAGGUGAACACUUUCUUGAAAUUAUUAUAAGGGAUCAUCUUACUUACUACCGUCGUUCUAAGCAAAUAAGAUGCAAAAACAUGACAAACAUCAAAUCAAAUAGUGACAUAAUAUGGCCAAUAUCAUUAUGCUCCUUUGAUCUCCAUCUUCGGGGCACCAUGAUCAUCUUCGUCACCGGCAUGACACCAUGAUCUCCAUCAUCAUGAUCUCCAUCAUUGUGUCUUCAUGAAGUCGUCACGCCAACGAUUACUUCUACUUCUAUGGCUAACGCGUUUAGCAACAAAGUAAAGUAAUUUACAUGGCGUUAUUCAAUGACACGCAAGUCAUACAAAAUAAUAAAGACAACUCCUAUGGCUCCUGCCGGUUGUCAUACUCAUCGACAUGCAAGUCGUGAUUCCUAUUACAAGAAUAUGAUCAAUCUCAUACAUCACAUAUAUCAUUCAUCACAUCUUCUGGCCAUAUCACAUCACAUAGCACUUGCUGCAAAAACAAGUUAGACGUCCUCUAAUUGUUGUUGCAAGUUUUUACGUGGUUUGUAGGUUUCUAGCAAGAACGUUUUCUUACCUACGUAUGACCAUAACGUGAUUUGCCAAUUUCUAUUUACCCUUCAUAAGGACCCUUUUCAUCGAAUCCGUUCCGACUAAAGUAGGAGAGACAGACACCCGCUAGCCACCUUAUGCAACUAGUGCAUGUCAGUCGGUGGAACCUGUCUCACGUAAGCGUACAUGUAAGGUCGGUCCGGGCCACUUCAUCCUACAAUGCCGCCGAAACAAGAAACGACUAGUAGCGGCAAGAGGAAUUGGUAACAUCAACGCCCGCAACUUCUUUGUGUUCUACUCGUGCAUAGUAACUACGCAUAGGCCUGGCUCAUGAUGCCACUGUUGGGAAUCGUAGCAUAAUUUUAAAAUUUUCCUACACUCACCAAGAUGCAUCUAUGGAGUAUACUAGCAACGAGGGGAAAGGAGUGCAUCUACAUACCCUUGUAGAUCGCGAGCGGAAGCGUUCCAAUGAACGUGGAUGACGGAGUCGUACUCGCCGUGAUCCAAAUCACCGAUGACCGAGUACCGAACGGACGGCACCUCCGCGUUCAACACACGUACGGUGCAGCGACGUCUCCUCCUUCUUGAUCCAGCAAGGGGGAAGGAGAGGUUGAUGGAGAUCCAGCAGCACGACGGCGUGGUGGUGGAUGCAGCGGGAUGCCGGCAGGGCUUCGCCGAGCUUAUACGAGAGAGAGAGAGGUGUUGCAGGGGAGGAGGGAGGCGCCCAAGGCUGAGUUGUUGCUGCCCUCCCUCCCCCCCUUUAUAUAGGCCCCUGGGAAGGGGGGGGGCACCGGCCACAACCCAUCUAGGGCAAGGGGCGGCGGCCAAGGGGGGGGACUUGCCCCCCAAGGCAAGUGGGGCGCCCCCCACCCUAGGGUUUCCAACCCUAGGCGCAGGGGGGAGGCCCAUGGGGGGCGCCCCAGCCCACUAGGGGCUGGUUACCCUCCCACUUCAGCCCAUGGGGCCCUCCGGGAUAGGUGGCCCACCCGGUGGACCCCCGGGACCCUUCCGGUGGUCCCGGUACAAUACCGGUAACCCCCGAAACUUUCCCGGUGGCCGAAACUUGACUUCCUAUACAUAAUUCUUCACCUCCGGACCAUUCCGGAACCUCUCGUGACGUCCGGGAUCUCAUCCGGGACUCCGAACAACUUUCGGGUUUCCGCAUACACAUAUCUCUACAACCCUAGCGCCACCGAACCUUAAGUGUGUAGACCCUACGGGAUCGGGAGACAUGCAGACAUGACCGAGACGCCUCUCCGGUCAAUAACCAACAGCGGGAUCUGGAUACCCAUGUUAGCUCCCACAUGUUCCACGAUGAUCUCAUCGGAUGAACCACGAUGUCGAGGAUUCAAUCAAUCCCGUAUACAAUUCCCUUUGUCAAUCGGUAUGUUACUUGCCCGAGAUUCGAUCGUCGGUAUCCCAAUACCUUGUUCAAUCUCGCUACCGGCAAGUCUCUUUACUCGUACCGCAAUGCAUGAUCCCGUGACUAACGCCUUAGUCACAUUGAGCUCAUUAUGAUGAUGCAUUACCGAGUGGGCCCAGAGAUACCUCUCCGUCACACGGAGUGACAAAUCCCAGUCUCGAUCCGUGCCAACCCAACAGACACUUUCGGAGAUACCCGUAGUGCACCUUUAUAGUCACCCAGUUACGUUGUGACGUUUGUCACACCCAAAGCACUCCUACCGUAUCCGGGAGUUGCACGAUCUCAUGGUCUAAGGAAAAGAUACUUGACAUUGGAAAAGCUCUAGCAAACGAAACUACACGAUCUUUUAUGCUAUGCUUAGGAUUGGGUCUUGUCCAUCACAUCAUUAUCCUAAUGAUGUGAUCCCGUUAUCAAUGACAUCCAAUGUCCAUAGUCAGGAAACCAUGACUAUCUGUUGAUCAACGAGCUAGUCAACUAGAGGCUUACUAGGGACACGUUGUGGUCUAUGUAUUCACACAUGUAUUACGAUUUCCGGACAAUACAAUGAUAGCAUGAACAAUAGACAAUUACCAUGAACAAAGAAAUAUAAUAAUAACCAUUUAUUAUUGCCUCUAGGGCAUAUUUCCAACAGUGGCACGUUGGCGUGAAAGAGGAGGGUGCGAACACAAUCAUUAAGAGUGCGAAGCACACGCUCAGCGCGGCCAUUUUGUUGCGAAGUGUACGGGCAAGUGAGACGACAAAUUGUGCCGUGUUUGGCGAGAACGUUGCGGAUCGCAAGGUUAUCAAACUCCUUCCCGUUGUCUGUUUGCAACGCAUGAAUGGGACGUCCAAACUGCGUGGAGACAUAGGAGUAAAAAGCGAUGAGAGUGGCAACAGAGUCCGACUUUCGCCGCAACGGGAAGGUCCACACAUAGUGCGAAAAAUCAUCAAGUAUGACAAGGUAAUAAAGAUAGCCCGUGUUACUUGCAACAGGAGAGGUCCAAACAUCACUAUGAAUUAACUCAAACGGGUAUGAUGCGACAUGCGAGGAAGUGCUAAAAGGAAGACGAACAUGUUUGCUGAGACGACAAGCAUGACAAGUGUGAUCGUCGAUCUUAUUACACGUGAAUGAAAAACUCCGAAGAACAUGACGAAGGGUGACGAUGUUGGGAUGACCGAGAUGAGCGUGCCAAAGGUCCACUCCGGCGGAAAGCGCCAUGGGUGCAGCGACGGAGGAGGUAGAUGAGUGGACCGGGUAGAGCUCGUCGGGGCUGUCACAUCGGUGGAGCACCAUCCGGGUACGGGCAUCCUUAAUAGAAAAGCCAAACAUGUCAAAUUCAACGGUAACAAGAUUUUCACGUGUAAGAGAACGGACGGAAACAAGAUUUUUAAUGAUGUCAGGAGGGACAAGCACAUUAAAAAGAUAUAAUGGCAUGGAGUUAGAAGGAAAAUCAGCAUGGCCGACAUGAGUAAUAGGCAUGGAAGAACCGUUACCCACGGUAAUGCGAGCAGCGUUGUGAACGGGGUGAGCGGCAAGAAGGUUACCGGGGUUGGCGGCCAUGUGAGCCGUGGCUCCGGUGUCCAUAUACCAGUCGCCACCGCCAGUGUACCGCUGCGGCGUGGGGGCAGUGUGGAGGGCCGCUAGGAGCGCGGGUCCCAAGGCGCCGGUGGGAGAGCCGGGGCGGACGGCGCCGGCUGAGGCGGGGGCGCCACAAACCCACCGGCCGGAGUGUGACGCCCAGAUAAUUAAGCUACAGCAAUCCCAUGUUAACGAUGCCACGUCACCUCGGUUAUUGUUGCUAAUCUCGCGUUAAUUCGAAACUGAUUCAAAAUCAAGCAAACAAUAAAAGUUUUCAAAUAUUAAAACUAAAAUGUUUAAUAAAUAGUAGAUAAAUCAGAGGCUAUGAUAAAAAUGUAAACAACAUUAUUGAAAUUUGAUAGGUGACUUAAACAACCUCAAACAGUGGCUAAAAACAUUAUUUAAUAACCUUUUUAUUAAUAAAAAAUAAAUAUGAAAUGAUAUUUACCCCAAACUAGUUUUUGUUGUAGGAUAUAUUGUGCUGUGAUUUGUGGGCCAGCUCUCAUAUUUUACAAAACUCAUUUGGUGCCCAGACAAUUAGCCAAAAUAGAAAAAGAAAAAUAAGAAAAGGUAAAACAAAACAAAACAAACAAAAAAAAGAGAAAAAGAGACCCCCCGAACUGGGCCUCGACCCAGCAGGCCAUUGGGCCAACCAGCCCAACUGGGCAAAGGCCCAACCGGCCACCCCACUCCCCCAUAACCCCCCACCCCUGGUCAAACCCUAACCCAACCACCCGCACUCCUUCCCCCACGUCGUCCCCCCCGAUCCAGAUCGGAUCAGGGCUCACACGCACGUCGCCGCCGCUGCCCGGGAACGCACCCACGACCAGGACNNNNNNNNNNNNNNNNNNNNNNNNNNNNNNNNNNNNNNNNNNNNNNNNNNNNNNNNNNNNNNNNNNNNNNNNNNNNNNNNNNNNNNNNNNNNNNNNNNNNNNNNNNNNNNNNNNNNNNNNNNNNNNNNNNNNNNNNNNNNNNNNNNNNNNNNNNNNNNNNNNNNNNNNNNNNNNNNNNNNNNNNNNNNNNNNNNNNNNNNNNNNNNNNNNNNNNNNNNNNNNNNNNNNNNNNNNNNNNNNNNNNNNNNNNNNNNNNNNNNNNNNNNNNNNNNNNNNNNNNNNNNNNNNNNNNNNNCCUGCGGAACCGCUGCGCCGCUGGCCCGGCCCCGCGCCCGCAGCCGAGUUCGCUCGCGCCCGCCUGGGCCGCGGCCACCCAAGGCCGCGCCCUACCUCAUCACACCUGCCUCUUUCCCCCGUGCAGCUCGUUGCUCCCGUCUGUAGUGCCGCCGCGCUUGGAGCUCUGCUCCCAUGCUCACGCGCGCCCGCUACACUCUGCCGGCCGCCGUCUACGCCUAGCAGCGCCGCCUCGAUGCCUCCUUGUCUUCACCUGCUGCUGAGCCGUACCGGCUCCGCCCCGCGCUUCCGCGGCUCGCCCCCCUCUCUUGGGCCAGCCCCUGCUCCGCCGCCGACCCCCUGCGCCGUCACCGCUCGCCGGCGAGCAAGCGCCCCGGCUCGCCGUGCCUUCCCCCCCGUUGGCCGUGCCUGAGGCAGCGGACGGGCGCCUGUUGCGCCCGUUACGGCUGCACCCGCAUGCCCGCAGCGCCCGUGCCCGUUAGGGCCCCUGGCCCAAUGACAGCCGGGGCCCAUCCCAGAAUGUUUUAGAAAAAAAGAAUUAAAAAAUAUAUGUAUAAUAAAAAUAAUUAAUUAAUCAAUUAUAUAAUUAAUUAACUUAAUUAAUUUUGAUUAAUUAAACUAAACCACUAAUUAAACUAAUUAAUCAUGAUUAGUUAGUCUAGUCAAUGACGAACGGGACCCACACGUCAGUUUGACCAGUCAACACCUCUGUUGACUGCUCACGUCAUGCUGGCGUCAUGAUGACGUCAGCAUGCACUGUUCUGGAUAAUGUUGAAUUAAAUUAAUUAAUUAAAUUCUAGAAAAUGAUUUAAAAACUUUAAAAAUUAAUAUAAAAUAAACCGUAGCUCGGAUGGAAAAACUUUGUACAUGAAAGUUGCUCAGAACGACGAGAUGAAUCCGGGUGCGCAGUCCAUUCGUCCGCCACACAUCCCUAGCAUAGCAAACACGCAAAUUUCCCCCUCCGGUUCAUCUGUCCGAAAACACGAAACACCGGGGAUACUUUCCCGGAUGUUUCCCCCCUUCGUCGGUAUCACCUCCUACCGCGUUAGGGCAUACCUAGCACCGCGUAUUGCUUCGUUAUGUUUUUUGAUUCUUUGUUUGCUCCGUAUUUACUGUUUCUUCCCCCUUCUUCUUCCCCGGUAGACCUCGAGGCCGGCGCUGAUGCCACCGAGUACGACUACGUCACCGACGACCCCUCUUCUUGUGCAACAGAGCUUCCAGGCAAGCCCCCCCCUUGAUCACCAGAUAUCGCCUAUUUCUUCUCUCUACUGCUUGCAUUAGAGUAGUGUAGCAUGUUAGUGCUUUCGGUUAAUCCUAUUCUGCUGCAUAGCCUGUCAUUGUUGCUACAGUUGUUACCUUUACCUGCUAUCCUAAUUGCUUAGUAUAGGAUGCUAGUGUUCCAUCAGUGGCCCUACACUCUUGUCCGUCUGCCAUGCUAUACUACUGGGCCGUGAUCACUUCAGGAGGUGAUCACGGGCAUAUGCUAUAUACUUUAUACUGUUACAUUACUUAUGAUACUGUUCGGAGAUGGGGGCUGAAGGGGCAGGUGGCUCCAUCCCGGUAGAGGUGGGCCUGGGUUCCCGACGUCCCCGACUGUUACUUUGUGGCGGAGCGACAGGGCAAGUUGAGACCACUUAGGAGAGAGGUGGGCCUGGUCCUGGUCGGCGUCCGCGGUUACAUCAAUUAACACGCUUAACGAGAUCUUGGAUUUGAUCUGAGUCUGGCCAUUUGGUCUAUACGCACUAACCAACUACGUGGGAAAGAUAUGGGCACUCGACGUCGUGGUAUCAGCCGAAGCCUUCGUGACGUCAGCGACUGAGUGGCGCGCGCCAGAUUGGACCGCGUAACGUGACUUCCUUUGUAAUGGAGGUUGCUAGGUCUGCUUCCGGCCGCCCUCGCAACGUGCAGGUGUGCAAUGGGCGAUGGGCCCAGACCCCUGCGCCAUAGGAUUUAAACCGGCAUGCUGACCUCUCUGUUGUGCCUAGGUAGGGCUGCGACGUGUUGAUCUUCCGAGGCCGGGCAUGACCCAGGAAAGUGUGUCCGGCCAAAUGGGAUCGAGCGUGUUGGGUUAUGUGGUGCACCCCUGCAGGGAAGUUUAUCUAUUCGAAUAGCCAUGAUCUUCGGUAACAGGACUACCCGGAGUUGUACCUUGACCUUAUGACAACUAGAACCGGAUACUUAAUAAAACACACCCUUCCAAGUGCCAGAUACAACCCGGUGAUCGCUCUCACACAGGGCGACGAGGAGAGGAUCGCCGGGUAGGAUUAUGCUAUGCGAUGCUACUUGGUGAACUUACCAUCUACUCUCUUCUACAUGCUCCAAGAUGGAGGCUGCCAGAAGCGUAGUCUUCGAUAGGAUUAGCUAUCCCCCUCUUAUUUUGGCAUUCUGCAGUUCAGUCCACCGAUAUGGCCCUUUACACAUAUACCCAUGCAUAUGUAGUAUAGCUUCUUGCUUGCAAGUACUUUGGAUGAGUACUCACGGUUGCUUUUCUCCCUCUUUUCCCCUUCCCUUCUACCUAGUUGUCGCAACCUGAUGAUGUAGCCCAGGAGCCAGACGCCACCGUCGACGACGACUCCUACUACACCGAAGGUGCCUACUACUACGUGCAACUGACGACGACCAGGAGUAGUUUAGGAGGAUCCCAGGCAGGAGGCCUGUGCCUCUUUCGAUCUGUAUCCCAGUUUGUGCUAGCCUUCUUAAGGCAAACUUGUUUAACUUAUGUCUGUCUUCAGAUAUUGUUCUUCCGCUGACUCGUCUAUGAUCGAGCACUUGUAUUCGAGCCCUCGAGGCCCCUGGCUUGUAUUAUGAUGCUUGUAUGACUUUUUUUUUACUUUUAGAGUUGUGUUGUGAUAUCUUCCCGUGAGUCCCUGAUCUUGAUCGUACACAUUUGCGUGCAUGAUUAGUGUACGAUUGAAUCGGGGGCGUCACACGGAGGCAGCCCAUAGACCGCGGAGGGGCCGUAGAGCGGCCCGGGCUGGUACGCCUGAGGGGCCGCGUGAAGCGCCUGAUGAGCGGCCGGGCGGGCGCCGAAGAGGCCCGGAGCGGGGGCACGCGGUAUAGGCAUGGAAUACGCGUGCACAACCCCGGUCCAGGGGUUCUGGCCGGCCUGCGAGGGCGCCGAGGGGAGCUGCGGCUGCUGCUGGCGCGGCGCCCCGCCGGGCGCAGCCGGCUGCUGCUGCUGUUUGCGGCCGCCGUGGCCACGGCGGCCGCCGCGGCNNNNNNNNNNNNNNNNNNNNNNNNNNNNNNNNNNNNNNNNNNNNNNNNNNNNNNNNNNNNNNNNNNNNNNNNNNNNNNNNNNNNNNNNNNNNNNNNNNNNNNNNNNNNNNNNNNNNNNNNNNNNNNNNNNNNNNNNNNNNNNNNNNNNNNNNNNNNNNNNNNNNNNNNNNNNNNNNNNNNNNNNNNNNNNNNNNNNNNNNNNNNNNNNNNNNNNNNNNNNNNNNNNNNNNNNNNNNNNNNNNNNNNNNNNNNNNNNNNNNNNNNNNNNNNNNNNNNNNNNNNNNNNNNNNNNNNNNNNNNNNNNNNNNNNNNNNNNNNNNNNNNNNNNNNNNNNNNNNNNNNNNNNNNNNNNNNNNNNNNNNNNNNNNNNNNNNNNNNNNNNNNNCUCCGGCUGCGGGUAGGGGAACCCGGGCGGCGGCGGCGCCUGGAAGGGGCCCGGGGCGGGCCUCGGCGGGGCGGUGGGCGGCGCACCGCCGCGAGUACCGGUGGUGAGGGCGGUGUGGGUGGCCCGGGUGCGUGACAUCCGCAUCCGCCUCUCCUCCAACUUCAGGCAGGCGACGAUCUUGGGGAACGUCGGGUUGGUGAUGAGGGGGAUGUUGGAGGCGGCGUUCCCGAAAUCGUCGCUCAGGCCGGCGAUGAGGGUGCUGAGGAGGAGCUCGUCGGAGACCUUCUCACCAAGGUCGCGGAGCUCGUCAACAAGCUUCUUGAGGCGCAUGCAGUAAUCGUCGACAGACGAGUCAAGCUGUUGGCACCCAAAAAACUCGCCGUGAAAGAAAACCUUGCGUUGGAGCGCGUUGUCGGUGAAGAGGCCGUUGAGCUUGGUCCAAACGGCGUGAGCAUCAUCGUCGGCGGAGACCACCGUGUGGAAGAGGUCCUUCGAGAUGGUGGUGUAGAACCAACGAAUGAGGGUGGUGUCAAUGGACAUCCACUCCUCAUCGUACUCCAUGAAGCGGGAAUCCACGGAGCCAUCGAUGUGAUCCCGGAUGUUGUACUCCCGGAACACAAGGGAGAAGUACGUCUUCCAUGCAUAGUAGGUGGAGGUGAGGUGGUCGAGGACGACGGGAACCCGAGCGAGGAUGUUGAGGUCGCGGAUGAUGACGGGAUCGGAGCCUUCGAACGGAUUGGUGCGGCGGCUGCGGGUGGUGCCGGAGGAGCCAGGGGAGGCCAUGGGGAGACGAGGGCGGCGGCAUCAUGCGAGAAGCAGCGCGGCCGAANNNNNNNNNNGGCGGCGACGGCGGCGGCGGGUGGCGGCGGCGGCGAUGAGAUCGCGGCGGCGGCGGCACAGGGUUAGGGUUAGGAUCUUAGGUAUGAUACCAUGUUGGAAACGAGAGUUUGGCAAUGCUUCACGAUGUAUUGAUCGGUGCAAAGCGCACGUAUAUAUGGAGUACAAGGUGGGCCACAACCUCAACUAUACAAUGACUAGGAGGUGGGCUAGGCUAUACAAUAUACAUGCACAAAACCAUAUAUUCAACAGUCUGAAUUGUGAAUGCUUGCUCGUUGGUCAUAGAGAGCGAAGGAUUAGCCAUCAUCGGGUCCAUCCACCGGGGGGAGGAGGAGGAAGAAGAACUGGGUCUUGGACGGUCACCACAAGGAUUCUUUUAUGAGGCGUGCUUUUGACGUGAGUCGACGAUAACCGUAAUUACCCGAGGCUCACUGGCAUCGGAUGAGAAACACAUGGCUACGGUCACUCCUCACACAUAGAUGGAAGCUUGAGUGCCGAUGGUGCCAUGGGAAGUGCUCAAGCCUUCAAGGUAAGAGGCAACUGAGGGGUGACGAGACAUCGGUGCAUAAUAAAUGAGAAAAAGGACAGAACAUGAUGGUGCUCGCCGGAUGCGUUCAUAUGGCCCUGGGAGCGUAGCGGUCUACUCGGCACAAUCGGCAUACACAAGUCACAACCUUUUUCGAAGGCAAGGAGGGACGCCCCACGGCUGAGUGCUUUGAUCGGCUUCGGAUGUGAUUAAAAAGAAAAGAAAAAUUGUCCAGAGCUUAAAGUUUACCUGCAGUUGUGUAUAUGUGAUACAAAUACAAACUAUAUAAAUCAAUAUGGCACUCGUAAACACCAUUAAAUAGACCUUGUGCACAAACUAUGUGGGAUGCAUCCAAAUAACCCUACAACCAACCGCCGCUGCAUUGAGGUUUCCAAGACCCUAUCUGACUCACGGGGUUACCUCGAUCAUUAAGGAUGGGUCUUGGAUGGAGACUUCGACGAUUACCAUAAGGAUUCUUUUAUGAGGCAUGCUUUUGAAGGGAGUCGGUGACGAUCGUAGGUGCCCGAGGCUGACUAGCACUAGAUGGAGAAAANNNNNNNNNNNNNNNNNNNNNNNNNNNNNNNNNNNNNNNNNNNNNNNNNNNNNNNNNNNNNNNNNNNNNNNNNNNNNNNNNNNNNNNNNNNNNNNNNNNNNNNNNNNNNNNNNNNNNNNNNNNNNNNNNNNNNNNNNNNNNNNNNNNNNNNNNNNNNNNNNNNNNNNNNNNNNNNNNNNNNNNNNNNNNNNNNNNNNNNNNNNNNNNNNNNNNNNNNNNNNCAAUUUUUCAGAAAAAAAACAUACUUACACGUUUCAAAAAUAUUCGAAGAAAAUUGUGAGCACAAGACAUGUUUCUACAAUCUAUACAAUGUUUAGAUCUACAUCUGAAAUGCGCAUUGGGAAACAAAGAAGACCAAACAUGAUCAUAUAUUUGAACCUCUCUUUUCUGAACCUAAAUCUCAAAAUCAUGUUAAAUUAGGAAAACACUUGUCUCGGAUCUACCUACAUAGAUGAACUCAUUAUGGAGAGAAAAUAAAGUGAGAGCAAGAUGUUGCGUGCUCAGCCUCCAACGUGAUGCAAUCCAUCACGAGCUGAGCACAAGAUCAAAUUUCUAACUUUACGGCUCAGUCUUUACAAAGAUGUUCAUAAGAGCAUCUCCAACAGCGACCCGUAAGUUUCCUCCCGCAUUCGUCCGCGGAUAGCUAGGGAGUGUUCAGUGCACGGACAUGGGUGUGGGAGGCCUUCAUCCAACGCUGCCCACAUGCAUUUCAAAUAUAUUUUUAACAAACCGGAUGAAAUUCAUGAAAACACAACAGAUUUCUUACAAAACGACGAAAACGUUUAUAUUUUGGACAUAUUUUUAAACUAAAAACGAUACCGGAUUGAAGAUAAAACUAGUCUACGGCCGGCGCAGUGGAUAUCCACCGACGUCAUGGAUACCCUUGACUAGUCUACUAUCGGCCAUGGCGGGUCUCCAUUGUCGUCCCCAUGUCCGGAAGUCUUGAGCCCAGAUGUCGUGGUUUUGUCACGGUAGAUGUCCUCGUGAAAGGACAAAGUCUAGAGGCCAUCGCAACUAGGUGGUUGCUUGGACGGGGUUGAUUGGGAACAAAACACACAAGUUUCCUCAGGUUCGGCCCCUCACGAUGGAGGUAAAAGUCUACUCCUAUUGAUUGAUAUCGACAAUGAUCUCAAUUACAAGGAUGCGGAUUUGCUAACCUAGCUCUCGAGAGAUCGCAACUUACUCUACUGGACCUAGGGGCUCCCCUUUAACAGGCUGAGUCCUCAGGUUUACAGACAAUUCCGGGUCAUACUGCUAGGCCGUAUCCUACUCUAACUCUUAUUUAUCUUAUCUUCCAAGUUAUGAAAUAUGUCACUCUUGGGCCUUCUCGUCAAGCCAGCCCAUCAAGUCCAUGAGAGCCGGCCUACAGCCGGGUCUUACGUUCGGGCUUCCAGCUUACCUGAGUUGGCUUUGUCACCACCCGGUAAUUGUUGUGACUCACAGAGACUCGGGGCUCAAGGCUGGGUCACACGUUCUCCGAGUCUCAUCUGUGGGGAACAUCCCCAACACCAGAGGUAUAUGCUUCAGUGAAAAUGACGGCUCGCUUCCCCACAGCUCAUCGGAGUGGAACCGCCGGCUGAUGCUUCAGCCAGAGGGGAAGGGUCCCUACGUUGCACGGAUCAAAGUUGGUUUUGGGGUAAGGGGAAGACGGUGGCUUGCCAGAGGUUAAGACACCGGCUGUGUACAUCGGCGUCGCCUCAGCGGAGGCCUUCAUGGGACCCAAGCGGUGAUGGCCUCCCAUGUUGUACUUCUCGAUGAUGGCAAUGGGCGUGGACGCGUGGGCUACCACCUCGUCGAUUUCCGUGCAACCGGUUUCUUUCUCUGCCGACAGGGCGCGGUUACAUGCGCGUUGACGACGGAUGGCGUGGUCAUAGGAAAGGGAGGCGUGGUACGACGUGGCGUCGUCCACGGAAGGAACAAUGCCCGUGCCUCCAUGCCCCCCUCCGCGCGCCUGUGCCGUCUUGGAGCAGGCAACUUGCUCCAUCGGGCUAGGCGAGGGAGGUGGAGCAGCGAGCUGCGUCGCUCGUAUCCGGCAGGCACAACAGGCAACCAAGUCGGCUUUUAUGCUGGAGAACUGCUUUUCCUGCUCGUCGAAUGCCAUCGAACGGGUGGAGAAAAUGGUUGAAGAAGGAGAUGGGGAGCGGCGGAGUGAUGCUUCUCUUGCCCGGCGUCUGUCCUUCUUUCAAUAGCGGGCGGGCAGCUUGCCCGGCGUUGUGUUUAAUGUCAGCUCGCUCGUGAACGGAUUGUGACCGAAGUAGGUUUCUCGGCUUCCACGUGAGUUUAAUGGAGUCGUGUGAGUGCGGCGAGGAUGAGUAUUCAGCCGGGCGUGCAACAGGCAGCGCCCUCGGCCGGCGCGCCGCUUCAAUGGCGGAGGCAGUGAGAGGUCGCGUCUGCGCUGAGCCGUCUUCAAUGUGGAGCGGCCGCUCUACAACGGCAUGAAUGCGGGCAGCUGAUGUCGGGCGGAAAUGCGCGCGAGCGAGAGGGGAGGGGGCUUGGGUAGGCCAGGGCGGUCAGAGGCGGACGUCGGUGUUGUCCAGAUGCCCGCAUAGCCUCUCACGUUUGUCUCCGUUUUGCGCCAGAAAAUAUGCCCGGACCAUCCUGCUGACCGAUACAGUCCCGCGUUGGAUGUCACAACACGUCCGAACCGCGCGGUCCGUACGUAUGUGUGCGGUUUAAGAUUCGCCGUUGGAAAUGCCCUAAGGGUGAGUAUAUAUUUGGCUACAUGUUCUGUGAAAAAAAUGACAACUCCGAAUAAAACUUACUUGACCAUCCAUCCAAGAGUUGGAAGUACUCCAAUUUGCUAGCUGUGAUGCAUGAAAACUACUGUACGUGGUAGUCGAUCCAGUGACUUGGUUCAGGGGUUCUCUGAUCUGCUUUGACGUCGGCGGCCGGCCCGUCUUGACAACCAUCACUCCACGACAUCGACGUGUGAUGCACAUCGGAUAUAAAUGAGUGAUAAUGGUGAUCGAUGGUUGACUACGAUGGGACGAUGCACGAUAACUACUCCCUUUUUCUUUUUUUUUCUUCUAAUUUUCCCUUUUAGCAGUGAUCAUGUUUCGAAAGCGAAAGAGCCCGGUUCGAAAAAAAAUGUUCCAAAAGCAACGUCACGCGUGCACUGUCUGUGUUUAAAAAAAGGACAUGUUUCUAUGACCGUUUUUUAUUUUUGCCCACGGCUACAAUCGUUUGCUUCUAUGUCAUGUGGUUGGCUACAAUCAUGUUAACAGUGAUACUGUUUCAAAAUUGGACGGCUCUUGUGAAUUCUAGAUGUAUAAGGAAACAGGGGUGGAAUGAGGGAGUGAACUCAUCGUCACCAUCACCAACUCUAGUUUAUAAGUACUACUAGAGAUUACUUAAGUUUAGGGAAAUGUUUACAAUCGGCAGGUCGGCUGGUCCAGCGCGAGUCGCACGAUUCCACCAGAUCAAAGGACGCCUAUAGCCCACUCGCCACGUCGCUGCCGUAGCCUCCUGGCCCACCACCGCUCCCCAUCUCUCUCGACCCCCCUCGACGCUCUUAUCCAUUUCCCCGUUCACUCAUCCCGCUGCUAUCUCAUCCCCUACCUCUAGCACCGCUCCUCAUCCCCUACCAACAACACGAGCACCCAAAUCAGAUCGCAUGAGAAAUCACCUCUGCUCCACGCCUCCCUUUCUUGCAUCUAGAUCUGGUCGAGACGGGGCACUGCUCGUCCACUCCACCCCUUGCUGAUGCGAGUAGUAAUCAGGGGCUGAUGCAACCCGGGGAAGACAUGGCCGUCCAUCUCCUUGUCCUCCCCCUCGACGAGGUUGGACGUUUUGCACCAGGUGAGGCUGGAGGUGGUCGCCACCGGUGAUGCGAUUUUGCUGCAACCGGCAUCGAAAAACCUACCACCGGCGCCUGGAUUUGCUGCAACCAGGAUCCAUAAUUUUUGCUAGGAUCCAGGUUUUUUGAGUGCUUUUUUGCUGCAACCAGUCCAAAAUUUUGCUAUCAUCGUUUUGUUUUUUGCUACCACCGUUGGCAGUCUAUCUUUUGAUUUCUUUUUGCUUAACUAGAUCCAUCUUUUUUGCUGGAAUCACACAAACUUUUUGUUACCAUGGUCUUUGAUUUUUGCUACAGCCGUCUUAGUUUUUGCUACCAACCCGUUUUUGACUUUUUUACUGGAUCCUUUUUUUUUUUGAGACACUCGAGUAUACAGAAUACUCAAGUGGUGGGAGUACACUCAUCCUGCAUCAUAUUCAUCAGCCUGUCCGGCACCCUAGCAACGAGCCGAAGAUCGCCAUGCAUCCUUGCCUCCGCUGCAAGCUCAUGGGCCAGUAUAUUGUGUUUCCUGCUCACAUGCCUGACACUGAAGUCUGAAAAAGCCCCUAGGGCAUUCAGGGUGUCCCGUAGCACUCCAUAGCAUGGUGAUAAACUCCGUGCUUCUCUAUUUAACUCGCUGACUAUCACCAUACAAUCCAUCUCAAGCACAAUUGGUCCUCUGUACACUUCUGCUAGAGCCUCCAAGCCAGCCAAAGCCGACCGAGCCUCUGCGUCUUCCACACUCCCUGCAAAACCAAUCUGCUUCCACACUGACACCAACACCAGCCCUCUGUGAUCCCUUGCGACCGCUCCCGCCCAGCAUUGCCCACUGUCCGACAGGUAUGAGGCGUCAGAAUUGACUUUCACUGUCCCUUGUGCCGGGGCGGCCCACCUCAUUGUUGCCUGCUCUGAUCGACGCGGCCCAAGGUCGGUUAGUGGCCACACGUCUUUUCUUGACUCAGGCACUGCCGGUGUAGUUUGAGCAAGACGGAACUCCUCCUCAUACUUUAGAAGAAAGAGUACAGAUUGUCUGAUAGUUUCAUCGCCUUUCCCAUGGACACAAUUGUCGCGCAAGUGCCAUCCUCUCCACAGCAGCAUGAGCACCCUUGCACGCAUGUCUUCCGGGAUUUUAUCUAGGAGCACCUGCAGCCAGUCUGGACCAGUUUUCUGGAAGGCGCAUUCCGGGGGGAGAUCCCACUCCUUUCUCAUUUCAUAUCUUAGUGCUCUACUCUUAGUGCAAGCGACCACCGCAUGGAACUCAUCUUCCUCUUCACAGCCACAUAUACCGCAUGUAGCAUCCACCUCCAGAGUCCUCUUCCAUUUAUUCCUCUUAGUGGCCAGCGUAUUUGUAGCAACACGCCACCCAAAGAUUCUCACUUUUGGCGGGACCUUUGCUUUCCAGAUCAGAUCCCAAAUGCUCUGGAGUUUGGUUCACUGGAAGAGUUCGACGGGAUUUGUUGGGUCUGUCCUUGGAUGGAAGCAGCCAGUCUAUACGCACUUCUGACAGUAAAGAUUCCACUCCGCUCAUAGUGCCAAGCAACUCGGUCUUCUGCAUUACACUUCGGGAUGGGAAUUUUGCAAAUUUCUUCCGCAUCGAAAGGAUGGAAAAUUUGUUUCACGAGCUCAACAUUCCAUUCUUUGCUGGACGGUAGCAUAAGCUGAUUUACCCAGCGUAAUCUAGACCUCCUAACCAAGGCAGCAGUUUUCAGUCCUUCCUUACGAGGGAUCCAUUGGUCUCUUUGUAUUUGAAUGCUCUUUCCAUCCCCCACAUGCCAAAUGACCCCUUUCUUGAGAAGCUCCAAUCCAGCCUCAAUUCCCUUCCACACCGGUGAGGCGUCUGACGUGAACACCGUAUCUAGCAGGUUACCAUGUGGGAAAUAUUUAGAUUUGAGGACCCUAGCACACAAACUAUCAGGGUUCUGAAGGAGCCUCCACCUCUGUUUCGCGAGCAACGCGAGGUUGAAAAGAUGCAUGUCCCUAAAACCAAUUCCACCCGCUCUCUUUGGUCGGAUCAUGCGCUCCCACGACAUCCAAUGCACUUUCCGAUGGCCCUCUUCGUCCCCCCACCAGAAGUCUCGAAUCAACUUCUCAUAUUUCUCACAAAACCCUUCGACAGAAGGAAAACACACAUAGUGAAGCAUGGCAGGGCUUGUACGACAGAUUUGACAUGUACUUCCUUUGCGGCAUAGGCCAUGAACCUCCCUGACCAGUCACUACAUCUCUUUACAAAUCUAUCCAAGAUCGGUUGGAAGUUUUCAUCCUUCAUUCUUCCUUCCGGCGUCGGCAGUCCCAAAUACUUACUCUCAAACGAAGCAGAUAUCACUCCCAAUACACUCUUAAUUUCCUCUCUAGUCCCUUCCGGGCAUUGCUCACUAAAGAGUAAAGAGCAUUUACUCUCGCUCAACAGUUGCCCUGUGCCAUUCUGGAAGGUAACUAGCACCUCUUUCAUAGUUCGUGCCUGCUCCACUGUGGCCUUGAAGAAAAUCAAACUAUCGUCAGCGAAAAGGAGAUUUGAUAUUCCCGGGCUGUUCCUUGCAAUUUUAACUGGUGUCAGCAUGCCAUCUCUUAUCUUCUUGUUCAUGAGGGCAACCAGACCAUCAGCUACGAAAAGGAAUAGAUAUGGACUGAGCGGAUCACCCUGACGUAUCCCUCUAGUUGGUAUGAAUUGUUCCAAAAGCUCUCCGUUACAUCUGACUGAAUAUUUCACUGAGCGGACACACUCCAUAACCCAGGCUGUCCACUUCUGAUUGAAACCCAACUUUAACAGGACCUCUUCAAGAAAAUUCCAGUCAACCCUGUCAUACCCUUUUGCCAAGUCCAACUUGUACGCGCAAUAUGUGUCGUGUUUAUUUCUGCUACGCUGAAUCUUAUGGAAGCACUCGAAUGCAAUAGUGGCAUUGUCUGUGAUCAUGCGACCGGGGACGAAAGCACUUUGAGUUUCAGAAAUAAUCCCGUCCAAAAAUGGUCAUAAGCGGUUGACUAGGCACUUUGAAAUCACCUUGUAAAUUACGUUGCAUAGGCUGAUGGGUCGAUAGUCCUUGAGUGACUUGGGGUCCUUGCCUUUAGGAAUAAGCACGAUCACAGUAUCAUUGAUACCCUCAGGCAUGACUCCAUUCUCGAAGAAAUUGAGAACGCCUCUGACCACAUCCCCUCGCAUGACUUCCCAAUUUCUCUGAUAGAACCUAGCUGGUAAACCAUCCUGGCCUGGAGCUUUCAAAGGUCCUAUCUGAAACAAGGAGUCACUCACUUCUUUCUCAGUGAAGGGCUUUGUUAGAGCUGAAUUCAUCUCCUCCGUAACCUUUGAUUCUACCAAAUUUAACACAGCCUGUGGCUUUACCCCUUGUUCCUUUUUAUAUAGGUUUUGAAAGAAACUUCGAGUGAUUUCUUGUAUCCCCUCUUUGUCCUCUAUCCACACUCCACUACUGUCUAGCAGCCUGCUUAUCUCGUUUUUCUUCAUCCUCCAUGUUGCUUUCCUUUGAAACCAUUUGGUAUUGCGAUCCCCUUCGCGCAAGUAAGUUGCCCGUGAUCGCUGUCUCCACAUCAUUUCUUCCCUCAACAGAAUUUCGUCCAGUUCUGCCUCACACCUCUUGAUCUUCAGUUGAUUCUCAGCCGAACUAGGAGAGUUCCACAAGAUGCUAAACUUCCUUCUGUAUUCAGUAGUUUUCUUUAAAACUGAACCAAAGUCCCUCUCAGCCCACGUCCUCAGUACAUGCUGCAUAUUACUGAUUUUUGUGCCCACAUCAUGCAGGUUUAUAACUUCGCCUGAGCCUCUCCACCCCUCCUCGAUCGUUUUCUGCAGCGACUCCAGUCGUUCCCACAUAUGUUCGUAGCGGAAGGGGCGGGAAGGUAUUGAUCCUACAGGUCUCCACUCUUUCCUCUUCCCACAUCUGAUAAGGACCGGCAGGUGAUCAGAACGACUCGAACAAAUGUGUUCGACUGUAGCAUUUCUAAAGUGGUCUGACCAACUUGCUGAAGCAACCCCUCUAUCCAAUCUCGCACGCACGUUCUUCCUCCCCUCUUGUUUAUUGUUAUAAGUCCAAACUGGCCCUUUGAAUCCAAGAUCAAACAAACUGCAGUCAGAGAGAACUUUCCUAAAAUUUUCCAUAUAUCUUUCCGAUCGUUUAGUAGCUGAAAGGUGCUCGGACUGCCACAUUGUUUCAUUAAAAUCCCCCAUCAUCAACCACGGGGCCUUUGAGUUAUCUUUUAUUCUUCGCAUCAGUUCCCACAUAAGGUAUCUUUCAUGAGCUUUCGGUUCUCCGUAGACAAAGGUACCCCUCCACUGCACACCAUUUGGAGUCAAGCGAACUAACACAUCAAUAUACCUCGGGCCAACGGCAAGCUUUAUUAUCUCAACACUAUCAUCAUAGAAGAGCGCAAUACUGACACCUUUACCUGUACCGGGUUGCGCAAUACAAUGUUUGAGGCCCAGCCUCCAUCUUAGCUUAUUGACGUACGCAUUGCUCUGCCGCGUUUCAGAGAGGAACACAAGCUUAGGCUUGUACGUGUGCACAAGGCACACAAGCUCCUGAACUGUCCGGGGCCGCCCAAGACCCCGACAGUUCCAACUUAACACCGUCAUGGCCCCUGACGGGCACCGUCUUUAGCUCCCGUCAGUUUACCGGCAGCCCCUUGGCCGGUUGCUUCCUGUCCACCAUACUCUCCGGUGCCACCAUCGCCUGUAGCACUUGAUCCACCUCUUGCUUUCUUUUUCAUCUCACCCCCUCCUCCUCACCGUUGCUCUUGAGUAUUUUCCCAUCCCUUGUUUCACGAUCAGUACGUUUGCCUAACACCGUACCCCUCUCUCCUGUUUCCUCCUCCAGAGCCUUGACCUGAACCACGUCCUCUCUUCCGUUCUGCAUCUGAACUUCAGCUCCGUUGACAGGUAUUCCUUCUGCAGGUGCCCCGUCAGUCCCCCCCAUGGUCGAGGGGUCGGACAGCGCUGGACCGGUCUGGGAUGCUGGCGGCGCCUGAGGUGGUGUAGGGGCAGCCACCAGCCCAGAGCGAUAUAGCGGGACAGGCCCAAAGCCCGGAGGGGCUUCUAAGCUCGAACCCCUGGAUCCCUGUCCAUUGUUUGUUGCAUGAUCAUCAGAGGGCGAUGGUAGGGGGAAUUGUUGUUGAAGACCCCCACACCGAUCGCAGCAGGGCUGUGGUCCGAGGCAGGGGUUUGGUUGGUGUUCGACCCUUCUUCCUCCAGACCAAGCUUUGAUGGAGGCGCCUCCUCCAACCCGUUUUUCCUAGGCCCAAGCUUGAUUGCACUCACAGCUGCAAUUGCGUCCUGCACCAUCGGGUCCAUCAGCACCUCCUCAGGUAUGUCCACCCUGGUCAUUGCUGCACGCCUCUCUGGAUCUGCUCUUGCCCCACACCCGGCCUCCGAGCCGAAGUGCGGGAGUCGUCGUACGUUGCUAGUGCCAGGUUUGCAAAGCUAUCCCUACCAUUACUGUGUUUAAAAGGAGAGGCGCGCAACGCUGCCGAGAACCUCAUCUUUUGGAGGUCUACGGGCAACUUACAAUCGCGCUAGCUAUGACCAAGGAAGCCAUAGAAACUACAGAAACGGGGUACCCUCUCGUACUUGACAUCUAGGAAGAACACCUCAUUUUCAGCAAAAUCAUGAGACUCUAAGGUGCUACAGAAGGGUUCAUCAACAUCAUGGUUAAUGCGAAUCCUUAGGAAGUCACCCCAGAUAUUACCUUCCAUGUCCGUAUGCACUUCAAGCACUUCACCAAGCUUGCCACCGAUCUCGUGAGCCACCGGUUCAGAGAGCAUGAUCGGGGGGGGGGGCAUCAUAGAUGCGAACCCAAAUUGGCAUGUGCGCAAUCUCCACAUCGCUUGGCCUGACGCUCCCGUCCACCGCGGUCACCAGGAAGGCGUCGCCGUGGUGUGUCCACGGGCCAUUCCGGAGGAUGAACCUCAGAUCGCCUUCGUGCUCGAACUCGAGGAGGAAACGGUUGUUCUUUAGAGGCGAUGGAUGAGUCGCCCCCUCAGACCCCACUUGCUCUUGAGCUCCUUGAACAGUCCCCCAAUGCUGAACAGCUGCACCGAGAAGAACAGCCCGACAGCUAUCCAUCUCGUGCGCAUGGCCGCCCUCUCCUUGGACAGGUUCAGUUGCACCACAUUUGGAGCCUUCUUCUCCAGGGCGACCGGGAAGGCAGGUGUGACAACGCCUCUGCCUGCCAUCCCGGAACCUUGAGGUGCCGCUCCUCCUUGACCCGAGGGGGUGCGGUACGGAUCACCGCUCCCCCUCGAAGAACCACCACGUAACAGCGGCCUUGAGACCAGCUUGCUCUUGCCGAUCACCUCCAGCUUGCCGGAUUGCUCCAUAGGCUCCUUGCCCUCACGGUGGGAUUUGUCCGCCAUAGUUGUUGGGUGGUCUAUGGUGGGGGAUUGAAUGGCCUCAGGUGGGUGCCUCAAUCCCUCGAUCCUCCUCUUAAUAGCCCAUGGGUUCCACUCGUUUGAUGGCAUCAGAUCAACAGACUCGGACACGACGUGAUUGUCUUCCGUUGCAAGCAUAUUUGGAUCCUCCUUAUACGGCAGCAUACCUCCUCCUUUAUCUGGCGGAUCUGCUAUAUGGGAAAGCUCGUGAUCUCUUUCCUCUCUCUUAUGAUCUACUGCCAUAAACUUGUACUGCAGAUCAGACCUCAUUUGCUGGACUUUGCCUCGAAUCCUGUCAAAUCCCUCGUUCGGGUUAACCGAAUGAUUUCCUCCGCUUUCCUGUCGAUGAUUCAAGGAUGCCUUCCUCUUUUCAGCGUACCUGCGUACCGACUCCCUCGUCUUGGUCCACUUCUCCCGCAAUCCCAGUGGAUCUGAAUCCUCCUGGGCACUCCAUGGGCGAACAAAUCUCUUCUCUUUCCUCUCAAUUUCUCGUGGAUCAUUAACCGGAUCUGCCGAUUCAAACUUCCAUGACGAUCGCCUCGGGAUCGCCUCGACACGGGCACCGCAAAUCUCGGGCGGCAUCAUAUGACUCUCACCGCGGAUCCAUCUUAUUUUUGCCGGAACCACUGCAAGUUUUGCUACAAUGGUGUUUGAUUUUUGCUACCGCCGUCUUUUAUGUUUUGCUACUCCCCAUUUUCUGAUUUUUUGCUGGAUCAAUCUUUUUUGCUGGAACCAUUCAAAGAGAGAGAAAAAGGAGGUUGUGAAUGGCGUGGAGGGAGAUGCAAACAUAUUUUUUUUGCUACAACCAGCGUCCUAUGAAGCUUCAAUCGAAGGCAAUGAAUUUUGGGGACCGGCCACACCACGCAACCGCGAAAGCUGAAACCGUCGCCGAAAAACGCUUCAACCGUUUUGUGAAAAAGAUUCAAUGGGCAUACCGACGGCGAGUAUGGCGACCGGCGGCGAGCUGGUGAUGCUUCAAGACAGGCCUCAAAGCGUCCAUGGCGGUGUCCAGGGCAAAAAGUUGGAUGCGAUUAGCGAUGCAAAAAGGUUGAUCUGACGGUUGGUAAAAGGAUAAACCGACGUGUCAGAUGUGACCGUCCGAACCGUUCCGCCGGUGCACCGGCGCUUAUCAAUCGCCUUAAGUUUAUCCGAUCGGACGUAAAUUUGCUAAACAGAUCGUUUGAUACACCAACUUUUUGAAGUGCAAAAGACAUGCACGAACCGCCCGGAUCGUGUCACUCCACCAACGGAUCAAAUAAUUCGGCGCUACUAGUGCAUAUCAUUAUCGUGUUUAAUUCGCUAGUUAAUUAUAAUUAAGCUAGGAUCGGAGGAAGGCCGCGGGUUGGUGGAGUGAAACCGACACAGUUUGAUACACCAACACCAGAGGUAUAUGCUUCAAUGAAAAUGACGGCUCGCUUCCCCACAGCUCAUCGGAGUGGAACCGCCGGCUGAUGCUUCAGCCAGAGGGGAAGGGUCCCUACGUUGCACGAAUCAAAGUUGGUUUUGGGGUAUAAGGGGAAGACGGUGGCUUGCCAGAGGUCACGUCGCAUCCGUCCGUACACACAGAUUUCCUCGUGUGGUCGCCGUCCGAGACAUAUAUACCGGUGAUAAUAGUUCCGGUGGGAAAGGAUAAUUGGAGAGAAAGGAGGUGAAAAGCAGCUGUGCUGUGAUGGAGGACAUGCAUGCAGGUGCAGUGGUGCCCCCGGCUUCACUGUAUCCGCCUAGUGCCUACAUAGUUCCAGAAAGACCCAAGCCAGUUAGUGACAUCCAAAGUCUGCUGCCCCGACGAUCGACAUGGCAGUUGGCCGGGCAAUCAUUGGGAUCCGGGUGGCCGGAUCUUGUCACAGGAGCGCCAGGUCAAAUAUCUCGUGUGUUCCGGAUGUUUUUUUUUUUAACUUAGUGUUUUUUUUGGGGUGAUGAGCGACGCCUAGUCGAAGGAAGAAAACGGCCAAUAUGAAUUUCGAUGUAAUAAUUUUAUCUUUUCCAUUUUGCGUCUUGCUGUAUUUUCUUUGUACUAGGUACUGUUUUCCUGGAUGAUUGUUAGAUAUAAAAAUGCACUUUAGCAGUAUAACGCAACACCGCCAGCACAGAUGAAGAUCGGCAAUAACUCCGGCAUAUGAUAGUAACAGAUCGAUCAAUUGUCACCUUCAAUUUAGCUAUACGUACAUGGUCCCCCAUAAGAGAUCACCAUAUCAAAAUAUUGCUUUCUGAUUGAUCAUUUUAUUUUCCAGUCGGCGUUGUAUUCGACCUUCUAUUAGUACUUUAAGUAGGAGGCCUGCAUUGUCUGACCAGUGUGGCCCUCUAACAAUAGGUGCCCAUCAAUUCUUGAUGGUUUCCUAGGACAGAAGAAUUAACCACACAAGCUAAAAUAUCUACAUGCUUAACCAGUGCAGCCCUAUAAGCUAAAAUAUCCCGAUGGUUUUCCGAUCUUGGACAGAAAACUAAUCCUGCAAGCAAGCUAAAAUAUCUAGAACAGCAUCUGGUCGACAUCUCCAUCACAUACACUGUAGCUCGGCGUGAUUUUCAUAAUGGACGAAUAUGGGAAACGCCUUGCGCUUUAUGGGUGAAUGCUUCUUUCAAUUCAAUCUGAACUAUUAUGAGCUGAUCGAUCGACCUACCCGGCCAUCCACCCGUGAAAUGAAAUUAAAGACGAAUGGUGCUCUGAAUUUGACGUGUCCCACGUAUGAUAAAAGUCACAUGUGAUCUGCCUCUAGCUAGCUAGAUCGAUGGUAAUGAGGAAGAGAAAAAAAAUAGAUUGCUCAUAUGCAUGAAUGCACGGUCAACUUAAUUAAUUGGGUGGAUUUGAAGGAAGCACAUUAUGUAGUCUAGUUGGGUAGGUCGAAUGAGAGGACCCCGUUUCGAGUUCAUUUGGGUAUAAGAGCAUCUACAGCCGGGCGCCCCAAAUCGGUCUCAAAUGCUUGGGUUCCGCGCCCGGUCACGAUUUUUUAACCCAGAUCGGCGCCUCAAACAAGCCUCAAAUGCCCAGGCUGUCCGGCACUCCUCAUAUCCAGUCCAAAUAUGGGGCGGAUAUGGACGCAUCCGGACACACCCGCCAUGUCGGUCCGGUCCACCUUGACCCCACGCCGUCCCCACAUAUAUCCCCAAUCCGGAAACCCUAGCUCACUCCACUCUCGCUCUGUCUCUUCUUCUCCAAUUCGAUUCGAUCCAUCCGGCAGCUCCGGCGACUCCAGCGACCAUGUCGAGCGCUGGCAGCCGCUCCGACUCCGACAUGGACAUCGACGAGGAGCUCGCCCUCUGCAUUGCCCUCGAGAGUUCCAAGGUGGACAUGGGGGCAGUUCUAGAUCGGCUCCCUCGCCUCUCCCCGGCCAGCGCAGCGAGCACGCCGGCGCUACCUCCUCCCGGCCUGCGCGCAGCUCCGCGAGGGCUGCGUAGUCCACCCCGACCCCACAUCAUCCCCUGUCCCCUGCCCCCGCCCCGGCUACUGCUCCCCCGCAUGAGCAGCUCUGGGUGGUUGUGCCCGCCCCACCGGCCCGGACAGGCACGCCGGAGUCGGAGGCGCGCGCCGCCCGCCGCGAGAGGCAGCGGGCAAGGUAGAGGGAUGCAACUGAGAGCUCUGUCCGCCACCGUCGCGGGUUACCGGCGAAGCCCAACGAGGACGAGCCGCUCCUCGCGUGGGUCUACCGCCAAUCGCUUACGACAGCGGAGACGGACACUCGAUGGUUCCGUCGAAAGAACGCGAAGGCUCUCCGGCUUGCCAUCGAGCAGUCCGAGCGGGAGGCGAAGGAGAAGGCGACGGAGGCGGCUCGGUUGGCCAAGCUCAGGCGCCAACAAGACUGGGCCGUCCAGCGCCUGAAGGGCCUCGUCAUCGUCUCCUCCUCCUCGUAUGACGACCACGGCUCCUUGUACGACGAAUCGGAUGAUCCUCCACCGGCCGCCGAUGGCUACAGCUGCGCCGGCGACUAGAAGGGUAAAGGGCCGGCCCGGAAGUGGUGAAGUUUAAUUUCAAUUCAAGUUUUAGAUGUAGUAUAAAGUUUUCGGUCGUUUAUGUGAACUUUGGUGGACCUUUGAACAACCGUUCAUGAUCUUUUGGUGAUCCGUUGUGAUAUCCUAUGUCUGAUUCUAUGUCCGGUAGCUAAUCUAUGUAGUUUGAUCGACGUUGCAUAAUUUAGUAUGGAUAUAGGUUUCGAAUAUGAGAUACACGGAUGUAGACGACGCGAUUUGAGGGGGUGCCCGGUAAGUGCCCGUGGACGUGCCCGGGCUCGUCCGCGGACGUUUGAGGGGCUGGAUUUACCAAGUUUGACUAUAGAUGCUCUAAGGCAUGCAACAUUUAGUUUACUGUUGUGCCUUUACAUGCAUCUUCUCAUGCUUAAUGAUUCAGUCAGUUCCUAUGCAAUAUGCAUGCAUGAGAUGCUUGGGGUCUCGGUGAAAACUGUUAGGAUUAAUUAAUUAAGGGAUUAAUCCUGCUUUCUCUAACCGCAGGCAGUUGCUUUGGCAACUGCCACUCUCUCUACCACGGCUCAAGAACGUAGGAUUCACCUCCGGUUGGAGCCACACCAUUAAUAGAAUAAAUAUGUUGCCUUACACUACAUCAUAAGGCAUUAUAUAUAUAUCGAUCCAGAUUUCUGCAUCUGAUUAUUCUGUAUUAGCAAUCCCUGGGAUGCAAAGGACCUCAAGGGAAAAUGUUUGAAUCCAACUUCAACGUUCAACCCGACAUCACCAGCGGUGACGGACCCUGUGGGCACGGAGAACAUGAUGAUUGAAUAUGCCUCAAUCGACAUGUUUGAAGACUUGGUCUAGUCUCUCAAUCUCCUGAGUGAUUAAUAAAAUUUAUGUCGAUUUCUGAUGUUGUAAUAACUACAUAAGUAUUGUUGUCAUCAUAUAUUGUAUCAGCACUUUGGUACAUAUACAUUUGUAUGUGUUCUAUAUAUUUAACAGUGAUUUCAUAUUGAGAAUCUUCAAGUCUAUAUAUAGAUUUCUACAGGGUCAAUCUGAUGAAAGAUGAUAUGUGCCUUGUGGACAUAUGCACCACGAACUGUAUACUCAGGGAAGUGAAAUGUUUCCACUCUUGCUGAGAGAAAAUGAGAUAUUUAACUAUCGCUAGACGCGAUGUUGUAAUGUUGGCUCAACUCGAGUCAUAUUUACUAUCCCAAUGGGUACUCGAGUAGAAUUAAGGAUGCUUUAUCGUGUCUGGGACAACUCGUGCCCUACUAAACUAUAGAGAUAUCCAUCAAAAUAAUUUUCAUAGUGAAACUUAUGAUGACAACAAAGAAGAAUAUUCCCUUUACUAUAUGCAACGGAUAUGGCACAUUCUCUAUGUAUCAUCAGGAUUGUACCACACAUACUAUAAAACCCGUAGCAUAUGUUGCACACAAGAUAAUUUUCCAUAAUGCCUGUUGCAUGACAAACUUGGUAUUCUCACCUUGGUCAUCCAGACAUUGGGUUGAAAUCGAAACUAUCAGCAAUUCCAUUGGUUUAUGAUUGAUUAUCAUGAUGCUAAAUUCUAACAAUAUUUGGAUUUUAUGUGCACUACUUGUGACGCGGGGAAGCUAAUUUUAAGGCUCGCACACCUUAAAGUCUACGCUGAACCACUCGGACUCCUUGAAUGCAUCAAGUCGAGGUAAGUGGAUCGUCCCAUCCAUUGCCUAGACUAUUGGGGCACUCCAUGGUUUUUAAAAGACACAUCUACAUGAUGGUCUCAAGUGUGCUUUAUCCACACAAAAACCAUUGGCAUAUUAUCCUGGCCAUUGAUUUCAAGAAAAUUGAAUAAACAACAUUGUAGAAUUCUCCUUGUGUGCCUUUACGAUGGCCCUAGGAUUGAAGUUUAGCACUUUGUCCAAUAUGUCUAGGCUCAAAAUGGUUUCGUAGAAUCCUUUAUCCAAAGAAUUAAGCUCAUUGCAUUAACACUGCUUUGGAAUUGCAACUUACCAAUUUUACGUUGGAGUCAUGCAGUUUUACACACUCAUGACCAAACUGCAUAAUAUUAUUCCCCUCUAUCUUUGACACGUGGAGAUCUACCAAGUAUUUCCCAUCUAUGGUAAUUCGGUUACACACUGAUAUCACCACCCCGACAUACAUCAUUGGCCCCUCAGCAUAUAGUUGGGAUCUAUGUGAGGAAUAACUAUAUUUUCGUCAAUACCUCAAGGCCCUCAUAUGGGGAGUUAUUCAAGGCCGGUAUGCUGAUUCAAUAAGGAACAUUUCCAGGCAUUAGGGGGGAGUUAGAGUACCAUAUGGAAUGCCCGGAAAUUAUGGGAAUGUUCAACACAUUUCUGCCUCAGGUCCACGUACUCAAAGAUCUGAACCAUGCAUUCAGAAGAUUUGCAACACAUUGCAAAUAAUCUGCCAAAUUCAUUUACUGAAUAUAAAUGUGUCACACAAUCCUACAAUCCUGCAAAAAUAUGCCUGAAAGAGUGGAGGUACCUGUUGGAAAUAUGCCCUAGAGGCAAUAAUAAAAUGGUUAUUAUUAUAUUUCCUUGUUCAUGAUAAUUGUCUAUUGUUCAUGCUAUAAUUGUGUUAUCCGGAAAUCGUAAUACAUGUGUGAAUACAUAGACCACAACGUGUCCCUAGUAAGCCUCUAGUUGACUAGCUCGUUGAUCAACAGAUAGUCAUGGUUUCCUGACUAUGGACAUUGGAUGUCAUUGAUAAUGGAAUCACAUCAUUAGGAGAAUGAUGUGAUGGACAAGACCCAAUCCUAAGCAUAGCACAAAAGAUCGUGUAGUUCGUUUGCUAGAGCUUUUCCAAUGUCAAGUAUCAUUUCCUUAGACCAUGAGAUCGUGCAACUCCCAGAUGCCGUAGGAGUGCUUUGGGUGUACCAAACGUCACAACGUAACUGGGUGACUAUAAAGGUGCACUACGGGUAUCUCCAAAAGUGUCUGUUGGGUUGGCACGGAUCGAGACUGGGAUUUGUCACUCCGUAUGACGGAGAGGUAUCUCUGGGCCCACUCCGUAAUGCAUCAUCAUAAUGAGCUCAAUGUGACCAAGUGUCUGGUCACAGGAUCAUGCAUUACGGUACGAGUAAAGUGACUUGCCGGUAACGAGAUUGAACGAGGUAUUGGGAUACCGACGAUCGAAUCUCGGGCAAGUAACGUACCGAUUGACAAAGGGAAUUGUAUACGGGAUUGAUUGAAUCCUCGACAUCGUGGUUCAUCCGAUGAGAUCAUCGUGGAACAUGUGGGAGCCAACAUGGGUAUCCAGAUCCCGCUGUUGGUUAUUGACCGGAGAGUCGUCUCGGUCAUGUCUGCAUGUCUCCCGAACCCGUAGGGUCUACAUACUUAAGGUUCGGUGACGCUAGGGUUGUAGAGAUAUUAGUAUGCGGAAACCCGAAAGUUGUUCGGAGUCCCGGAUGAGAUCCCGGACGUCACGAGGAGUUCCGGAAUGGUCCGGAGGUGAAGAAUUAUAUAUAGGAAGUCCAGUUUCGGCCACCGGGAAAGUUUUGGGGGUUAUCGGUAUUGUACCGGGACCACCGGAAGGGUCCCGGGGGUCCACCGGGUGGGGCCACCUGUCCCGGAGGGCCCCAUGGGCUGAAUUUGGGAGGGGAACCAGCCACUGGUGGGCUGGGACGCCCCCCUUGGGCCUCCCCCUACGCCUAGGGUUGGAAACCCUAGGGGUGGGGGGCGCCCCACUUGGCUUGGGGGGCCAGCCACCCCCCUUGGCCGCCGCCCCCCCCCUCAGAUAGGAUCUCCAGGGGCCGGCGCCCCCCCAGGACCCCUAUAAAUAGUGGGGGGAGGGAGGGCAGCAGUACCCUAGCCCCUGGCGCCUCCCUCUCCCUCCCGUGACACCUUUCUCUCCCGGUUGUGCUUGGCGAAGCCCUGCCGGGAUCCCCGCUACUUCCACCACCACGCCGUCGUGCUGCUGGAUCUCCAUCAACCUCUCCUUCCCCCUUGCUGGAUCAAGAAGGAGGAGACGUCGCUGCUCCGUACGUGUGUUGAACGCGGAGGUGCCGUCCGUUCGGCGCUCGGUCAUCGGUGAUUUGGAUCACGACGAGUACGACUCCAUCAACCCCGUUCACUUGAACGCUUCCGCUCGCGAUCUACAAGGGUAUGUAGAUGCACUCCUUCCCUCUCGUUGCUAGUAAACUCAAUAGAUUGAUCUUGGUGAUGCAUAGAAAAUUUUAAAUUUCUGCUACGAUCCCCAACAGUGGCAUCAUGAGCCAGGCCUAUGCGUAGUUACUAUGCACGAGUAGAACACAUAGCAGUUGUGGGCGUAGAUAUUGUCAAUUUUUCUUGCCACUACUAGUCUUAUCUUGUUUCGGCGGUAUUGUGGGAUGAAGCGGCCCGGACCGACCUUACACGUACGCUUACGUGAGACAGGUUCCACCGACUGACAUGCACUAGUUGCAUAGGGUGGCUAGCGGGUGUCUGUCUCUCCCACUUUAGUCGGAACGGAUUCGAUGAAAAGGGUCCUUAUGAAGGGUAAAUAGAAAUUGGCAUAUCACGUUGUGGUUUUACGUAGGUAAGAAACGUUCUUGCUAGAAACCUAUAGACGCCACGUAAAAACAUGCAACAACAAUUAGAGGACGUCUAACUUGUUUUUGCAGCAUGUGCUUUGUGAUGUGAUAUGGCCAGGAGAUGUGAUGAAUGAUAUAUGUGAUGUAUGAGAUUGAUCAUGUUCUUGUAAUAGGAAUCACGACUUGCAUGUCGAUGAGUAUGACAACUGGCAGGAGCCAUAGGAGUUGUCUUUAUUUUUUGUAUGACCUGCGUGUCAUUGAAUAACGCCAUGUAAAUUACUUUACUUUAUUGCUAAACACGUUAGCCAUGUAAGUAGAAGUAAUCGUUGGCGUGACAACUUCAUGAAGACACAAUGAUGGAGAUCAUGAUGAUGGAGAUCAUGGUGUCAUGCUGGUGACGAGGAUGAUCAUGGCGCCCCGAAGAUGGAGAUCAAAGGAGCAAAAUGAUAUUGGCCAUAUCAUGUCACUAUUUGAUUGCAUGUGAUGUUUAUCAUGUUUUACAUCUUAUUUGCUUAGAACGACGGUAGUAAGUAAGAUGAUCCCUUAUAAUAAUUUCAAGAAAGUGUUCCCCCUAACUGUGCACCGUUGCGAAGGUUUGUUGUUUCGAAGCACCACGUGAUGAUCGGGUGUGAUAGAUUCUAAUGUUCGAAUACAACGGGUGUUGACGAGCCUAGCAUGUACAGACAUGGCCUCGGAACACACGCAAUACACUUAGGUUGACUUGACGAGCCUAGCAUGUACAUACAUGGCCUCGGAACACGGAAGACCAAAAGGUCGAGCAUGAGUCGUAUAGAAGAUACGAUCAACAUGAAGAUGUUCACCGAUCUUGACUAGUCCGUCUCACGUGAUGAUCGGACACGGCCUAGUUGACUCGGAUCAUGUUUCACUUAGAUGACUAGAGGGAUGUCUAUCUGAGUGGGAGUUCAUUGAAUAAUUUGAUUAGAUGAACUUAAUUAUCAUGAACUUAGUCUAAAAUCUUUACAAUAUUUCUUGUAGAUCAAAUGGCCCACGUUGCCCUCAACUUCAACGCGUUCCUAGAGAAAACCAAGCUGAAAAAUUAUGGCAGCAACUAUACGGACUGGGUCCGGAACCUGAGGAUCAUCCUCAUAGCUGCCAAGAAAGAUUAUGUCCUAGAAGCACCGCUAGGUGAAGCACCCAUCCCAGAGAACCAAGACGUUAUGAACGCUUGGCAAUCACGUGCUGAUUAUUACUCCCUCGUUCAGUGCGGCAUGCUUUACAGCUUAGAACCGGGGCUCCAAAAGCAUUUUGAGAAACAUGGAGCAUAUGAGAUGUUCGAAGAGCUGAAAAUGGUUUUCCAAGCUCAUGCCCGGGUCGAGAGAUAUGAAGUCCCCGACAAGUUCUUCAGUUGUAAAAUGGAGGAAAAUAGUUCUGUUAGUGAGCACAUACUCAAAAUGUCUGGGUUACACAACCGCUUGUCUCAGCUGGGAGUUAAUCUCCCGGAUGACGCGGUCAUUGACAGAAUCCUUCAGUCGCUUCCACCAAGCUACAAGAGCUUUGUGAUGAACUUCAAUAUGCAGGGGAUGGAAAAGACCAUUCCUGAGGUAUAUUCAAUGCUGAAUCAGUGGAGGUGGAGAUCAAAAAGGAACAUCAAGUGUUGAUGGUGAAUAAAACCACUAAGUUCAAGAAAGGCAAGGGUAAGAAGAACUUCAAGAAGGACGGCAAGGGAGUUGCCGCGCCUGGUAAGCCAGUUGCCGGGAAGAAGUCAAAGAAUGGACCCAAGCCUGAGACUGAGUGCUUUUAUUGCAAGGGAAGUGGUCACUAGAAGCGGAACUGCCCCAAAUACUUAGCGGACAAGAAGGCCGACAACACCAAAGGUAUAUGUGAUAUACAUGUAAUUGAUGUGUACCUUACCAGUACUCGUAGUAGCUCCUGGGUAUUUGAUACCGGUGCGGUUGAUCAUAUUUGUAACUCAAAACAGGAGUUGCGGAAUAAGCGGAGACUGGCGAAGGACGAGGUGACGAUGCGCGUCGGGAAUGGUUCCAAGGUCGAUGUGAUCGCCGUCGGCACGCUACCUCUACAUUUACCUAUGGGAUUAGUUUUAAACCUCAAUAAUUGUUAUUUAGUGCCAGCUUUGAGCAUGAACAUUGUAUCAGGAUCUCGUUUAAUUCGAGAUGGCUACUCAUUUAAAUCCGAGAAUAAUGGUUGUUCUAUUUAUAUGAGAGAUAUGUUUUAUGGUCAUGCCCCGCUGGUUAAUGGUUUAUUCUUAAUGAAUCUCGAACGUGAUGUUACACAUAUUCAUAGUGUGAAUACCAAAAGAUGUAAAGUUGAUAACGAUAGUCCCAGAUACUUGUGGCACUGCCGCCUUGGUCACAUUGGUGUCAAGCGCAUGAAGAAGCUCCAUGCUGAUGGACUUUUAGAGUCUCUCGAUUAUGAAUCAUUUGACACAUGCGAACCAUGCCUCAUGGGCAAAAUGACCAAGACUCCGUUCUCCGGAACAAUGGAGCGAGCAACCAACUUAUUAGAAAUCAUACAUACUGAUGUGUGCGGUCCAAUGAGUGUUGAGGCUCACGGAGGCUAUCGUUAUGUUCUCACUCUCACUGAUGACUUGAGUAGAUAUGGGUAUGUCUACCUAAUGAAACACAAGUCUGAAACCUUUGAAAAGUUCAAGGAAUUUUAGAGUGAGGUUGAGAAUCAACGUGACAGGAAAAUAAAGUUCCUACGAUCAGAUCGUGGAGGGGAAUAUUUAAGUCACGAAUUUGGCACACACUUAAGGAAAUGUGGAAUAGUUUCACAACUCACGCCGCCUGGAACACCUCAGCGAAAUGGUGUGUCCGAACGUCGUAAUCGCAUUCUAUUGGAUAUGGUGCGAUCUAUGAUGUCUCUUACCGAUCUACCGCUCUCAUUUUGGGGCUAUGCUUUAGAGACUGCUGCAUUCACUUUAAAUAGGGCUCCGUCGAAAUCCGUUGAGACGACACCGUAUGAAUUAUGGUUUGGGAAGAAACCUAAGUUGUCGUUUCUAAAAGUUUGGGGAUGCGAUGCUUAUGUCAAGAAACUUCAACCUGAAAAGCUCGAACCCAAGUCGGAAAAAUGCGUCUUCAUAGGAUACCCUAAGGAAACCAUUGGGUAUACCUUCUACCUCAGAUCCGAAGGCAAAAUCUUUGUUGCCAAGAACGGGUCCUUUCUGGAGAAAGAGUUUCUCUCGAAAGAAAUAAGUGGGAGGAAAGUGGAACUUGAUGAGGUGAUAGUCACCCCUUCCGAACCGGAGAGUAGCGCAGUGCGGGAAGAUGUUCCUGUGGUGCCUACACCGACUGGGGAGGAAGUUAAUGAUGAUGAUCAUGAAGCUUCGGAUCAAGUUACUGCUGAACUUCGUAGGUCCACAAGGACACGUUCCGCACCAGAGUGGUACGGCAACCCUGUCAUGGAAAUCAUGUUGUUAGACAACGGUGAACCUUCAAACUAUGAAGAAGCGAUAGCAGGCCCGGAUUCCAACAAAUGGCUUGAAGCCAUGCAAUCCGAGAUAGGAUCCAUGUAUGAAAACGAAGUAUGGACUUUGACUGACUUGCCCGAUGAUCGGCGAGCCAUAGAAAAUAAAUGGAUCUUUAAGAAGAAGACAGACGCGGAUGGUAACGUAACCAUCUAUAAGGCUCGACUUGUCGCUAAGGGUUAUCGACAAGUUCAAGGGGUUGACUACGAUGAGACUUUCUCACCCGUAGCGAAGCUGAAGUCCGUCCGAAUCAUGUUAGCAAUUGCCGCAUUCUAUGAUUAUGAGAUAUGGCAAAUGGACGUCAAAACGGCAUUCCUUAAUGGCUUUCUUAAGGAAGAAUUGUAUUUGAUGCAGCCGGAAGGUUUUGUCGAUCCUAAAAAUGCUAACAAGGUAUGCAAGCUCCAACGCUCCAUCUAUGGGCUGGUGCAAGCAUCUCGGAGUUGGAACAUUUGAUUUGAUGAGAUGAUCAAAGCGUUUGGGUUUACACAGACUUAUGGAGAAGCCUGUGUUUACAAGAAAGUGAGUGGGAGCUCUGUAGCAUUUCUCUUAUUAUAUGUGGAUGACAUACUAUUGAUGGGAAAUGAUAUAGAAUUCUUGGAAAGUAUAAAGGCCUACUUGAAUAAGUGUUUUUCAAUGAAGGACCUUGGAGAAGCUGCUUAUAUAUUAGGCAUCAAGAUCUAUAGAGAUAGAUCAAGACGCCUCAUUGGUCUUUCACAGAGUACGUACCUUGACAAGAUAUUGAAGAAGUUCAAUAUGGAUCAGUCCAAGAAGGUGUUCUUGCCUGUAUUGCAAGGUGUGCAAUUGAGCACGGCUCAAUGCCCGACCACGGCAGAAGAUAGAGAAAAGAUGAGUGUCAUCCCCUAUGCCUCAGCCAUAGGGUCUAUUAUGUAUGCCAUGCUGUGUACCAGACCUGAUGUAAACCUUGCCGUAAGUUUGGUAGGAAGGUACCAAAGUAAUCCCGGCAUGGAACACUGGACAGCGGUCAAGAAUAUCCUGAAGUACCUGAAAAGGACUAAGGAUAUGUUUCUCGUAUAUGGAGGUGACGAAGAGCUCGUCGUAAAGGGUUACGUCGACGCUAGCUUCGACACAGAUCUAGAUGACUCUAAAUCACAAACCGGAUACGUGUAUAUUUUGAAUGGAGGGGCAGUAAGCUGGUGCAGUUGCAAGCAAAGCGUCAUGGCGGGAUCUACAUGUGAAGCGGAGUACAUGGCGGCCUCGGAGGCAGCACAAGAAGCAAUCUGGAUGAAGGAGAUCAUUACUGACCUAGGGGUGAUUCCCAAUGCGUCGGGCCCGAUGACUCUCUUCUGUGACAACACUAGAGCUAUUGCCCUUGCCAAGGAGCCCAGGUUUCACACGAAGACCAGGCAUAUCAAGCGUCGCUUCAACUCCAUUCGUGAAAGUGUUCAAAAUGGAGACAUAGAUAUUUGUAAAGUACAUACGGACCUGAAUGUAGCAGAUCCGUUGACUAAACCUCUCCCUAGAGCAAAACAUGAUCAACACCAGAACUCUAUGGGUGUUCGAUUCAUCACAAUGUAACUAGAUUAUUGACUCUAGUGCAAGUGGGAGACUGUUGGAAAUAUGCCCUAGAGGCAAUAAUAAAAUGGUUAUUAUUAUAUUUCCUUGUUCAUGAUAAUUGUCUAUUGUUCAUGCUAUAAUUGUGUUAUCCGGAAAUCGUAAUACAUGUGUGAAUACAUAGACCACAACGUGUCCCUAGUAAGCCUCUAGUUGACUAGCUCGUUGAUCAACAGAUAGUCAUGGUUUCCUGACUACGGACAUUGGAUGUCAUUGAUAACGGGAUCACAUCAUUAGGAGAAUGAUGUGAUGGACAAGACCCAAUCCUAAGCAUAGCACAAAAGAUCGUGUAGUUCGUUUGCUAGAGCUUUUCCAAUGUCAAGUAUCAUUUCCUUAGACCAUGAGAUCGUGCAACUCCCGGAUGCCGUAGGAGUGCUUUGGGUGUACCAAACGUCACAACGUAACUGGGUGACUAUAAAGGUGCACUACGGGUAUCUCCGAAAGUGUCCGUUGGGUUGGCACGGAUCGAGACUGGGAUUUGUCACUCCGUAUGACGGAGAGGUAUCUCUGGGCCCACUCGGUAAUGCAUCAUCAUAAUGAGCUCAAUGUGACCAAGUGUCUGGUCAUGGGAUCAUGCAUUACGGUACGAGUAAAGUGACUUGCCGGUAACGAGAUUGAACGAGGUAUUGGGAUACCGACGAUCGAAUCUCGGGCAAGUAACGUACCGAUUGACAAAGGGAAUUGUAUACGGGAUUGAUUGAAUCCUAGACAUCGUGGUUCAUCCGAUGAGAUCAUCGUGGAACAUGUGGGAGCCAACAUGGGUAUCCAGAUCCCGCUGUUGGUUAUUGACCGGAGAGUCGUCUCGGUCAUGUCUGCAUGUCUCCCGAACCCGUAGGGUCUACACACUUAAGGUUCGGUGACGCUAGGGUUGUAGAGAUAUUAGUAUGCGGAAACCCGAAAGUUGUUUGGAGUCCCGGAUGAGAUCCAUGACAUCACGAGGAGUUCCGGAAUGGUCCGGAGGUGAAGAAUUAUAUAUAGGAAGUCCAGUUUCGGCCAUCGGGAAAGUUUCGGGGGUUAUCGGUAUUGUACCGGGACCACCGGAAGGGUCCCGGGGGUCCACCGGGUGGGGCCACCUGUCCCGGAGGGCCCCAUGGGCUGAAGUGGGGAGGGGAACCAGCCACUGGUGGGCUGGGGCGCCCCCCUUGGGCCUCCCCCUGCGCCUAGGGUUGGAAACCCUAGGGAUGGGGGGCGCCCCACUAGGCUUGGGGGGCAAGCCACCCCCCUUGGCCGCCCCCCCCCUCAGAUGGGAUCUCCAGGGGCCGGCGCCCCCCCAGGACCCCUAUAAAUAGUGGGGGAGGGAGGGCAGCAGUACCCUAGCCCCUGGCGCCUCCCUCUCCCUCCCAUGACACCUCUCUCUCCCGCUUGUGCUUGGCGAAGCCCUGCCGGGAUCCCCGCUACUUCCACCACCACGCCGUCGUGCUGCUGGAUCUCCAUCAACCUCUCCUUCCCCCUUGCUGGAUCAAGAAGGAGGAGACGUCGCUGCUCCGUACGUGUGAUGAACGCAGAGGUGCCGUCCGUUCGGCGCUCGGUCAUCGGUGAUUUGGAUCACGACGAGUACGACUCCAUCAACCCCGUUCACUUGAACGCUUCCGCUCGCGAUCUACAAGGGUAUGUAGAUGCACUCCUUCCCUCUCGUUGCUAGUAAACUCCAUAGAUUGAUCUUGGUGAUGCGUAGAAAAUUUUAAAUUUCUGCUACGAUCCCCAACAGUACCAACAAAUAUCACUCAACUCCGCGUUCAAAGCAACAGGGGUAGAAGUACGGCAAUAGUACAUCAGGAUUCUGCUUCUCGUGGACAAGGAUAUCAGGACCUCUGAAUCAGUAAAUGCAAGUCAACUUCACGUUGCCAGACAUCUAAUGGGUUGUAUACACCCAGUGGAUGGGAAACCUCCAGCAACCCAGGUCAUAGUGCAUACAAUGGCUGGGACAUUGGAAUACUCGACUUAGUCGCAUUGGAAAAUCGCGAGCAGUCACCAUGGGUAAGGAUAUUUCCAUCAACUAUAUAUUGAUAUAUAGAUUCUGGAGAAACAUAUAACCGGAAGACUACAAUUGUUGACAUACAUUUCUCAACUAGAUUGCAAAAACCUUUCAAAUGAUUCAGAUCCAAAGACCAUGGCCAUGGCAAAGUGUGAACAACACUUGGACCGAAUUCAAGCAAAGGGUACAAUCUAGGUAGAAAUAAUCUUGCUCAACCAAGGGAAGGUAUUCACAUAAGAAGUACCUACACCAGUUUUCUUCUGAAAAUAGAAUGAGAACAACGAGGUGGUGAAACAUUGAGCAAGCAUUGUAGCACAAGGGUUCACGCAGAUACCCAACUAUUCUCCAAAGGUGGAAUCUCUUUCCGAUAACUUAUAUCAUUGGCAGUACAAAAUCAUCUCUCUAUGAAGUUGGUAGAUGUAGUGAUUACAUAUCCAUGUGGAUCACUAGGUUCAAACAAAGAUGGUUCCUGAUGGAAUCUCACUUUGAAUUGAAAUGAAAAACGCAACAUACAUUGUGUAAAAAUCAGUAAGCCACCAUACGGCUUAUUGUUGUCGGUACAUCUCGGUACAACCGACGUAAUAUGUUCCUUAUAUACAAGGAUUACUCCUACAAUGAUGAUUACCUAUGCAUGUUUGUCAUACACAGGGAUAACUCCUGCAAGGAUGAAGCACAUGAUCAUCUUAAUGAUGGAUUUUGAGAUGAAGGAUUGAGUAAAACCGUGAGUGCCUUCACUCAUACACUAUGGUACACUAUAUAUGUUGUCCAUAUCCAAAAUAUAUUGGAUAAAUUCAUUGUGGACAAAUCUUUUCCAUCCAUAACUCGCAUGACUUCGUUCUCUAGACGUAGAGAAAGAUCCAUUAAAACCAUGAGUUGAUGGGAAUGCAAUAUUGGAACAUAAAGUUCCAUAUCCUAGUGUCAUUGGACCCACCACACAUAAUUGGUUGGCGCUCAAGAAUAUCUUCCGAUAUCUCCAAGGCAUCAAAUAUCUUUUCCUAGUUUUUCAGUUUUAGAGAAAUCUGGGCUCCAAUAUCAUUGGAUAAAUCGAUUAGAUCCCUACCAUGUGAGAUCGUAGACAAGCUUUGUGUUCCUACUAGGUGUGGUAGCCAUCCCAUGAAAGUCUUCAAAACAGACAUGGCUACAUCCAUCAACCAUUAUCUCUAAGAUAAUGUUGCUUGUGUUGCCCGGAUGCAAACAUGUUACAUAAUAAACAAUAUCACUAUAUUGCCCAUCUUGCAAGUCAAAUCAUGCGACAAUCUUGCCGAUUUAUUCAUGAAGUCUCUACCAACUACAACAUUCCAAAACAUGUUGAUGGAAUUGGUAUUGGACAACAUCGAGGUUUGCAAGUAUCAGGGGGAGUAUCUUCCUGAAUUGUUCAUGUUCAAUGCAUCAUAUUGUACUCUUUUUUUCCUUCACGAGUUUACAUUUACAGGUUCUCAUCAAGGUUUUUAAUGAGGUAAUAUCAACACAAGAUCAUAUGUCAUACUUCCCUUUUUCCCCACCGAGGUUUUUAGGAAAGUAUAUACGACAUAUUUAUUGUCCUCUUGAUUCUACGAGUUUUCUCAUAUUGAGUUGAAAGAGACAAUAACCAUUAUAUGUUGCAUCACUUUCUCCUUAUUUUUUCCACCAGGUUUAAAGGAGUUUUGGCAACAUAUCAAACACUAUACUCCUCAUAUUUUUCCCAUGGGGUUUUUCGAGGAGCUUUCCAAGAUGAUGUCUACUAACAAGAUAAAGCGGUGAUUAGGGGGGUUGUUAGGAUUAAUUAAUUAAGGGAUUAAUCCCUACUUUCUCGAACCACAGGCAGUUGCUUUGGCAACCGUCGCGUCGGUUCACCGGACAGGCGUCUCUCUGUACAGGCACCUCUCCAAUGGCAUCCCCUCAAACUGUAUAUAUAUUUAAUCACAUCGUCAAUAAAGAAGACAACUAUUUACUUUUACAUCGCUAUUGUUUUAUCUCUCGCUGAGUUCAAACAAAAACAAAAGAUGCUUAGAUAUUUUCAAGUGACGUGACUCGGCUUGAACGGGUUUGGAAGGGCAUGCAUUUACACUUCGACAGUUGUUCUCCACCAGCAUGUUUGACGCAUGCAUGAAUGAGCAUAAUUUCAUUAUCAGACAACAGACUUAACAAGUAACGUGCAUUGAGGUGUUUUUUUUUCACGAUAGCAUUCGAACUGCAAAGCUAUUGUCAGAUACAUAGAUCACUUUUUCUUGUAUAAAGUAUAUUUUAUGGGCACAGAAGGAAUAAAAAUGAAAAACAUGAGAGAAAAAUACAGAGACACGAUAUUAAUCCCAGCCCACAAUUUCAAAAGAAACUGACCCCACUAUUAACAACUUUUUGGGGGACAAUAUUAGAUAUUUUUUGAGAUCACUACCAUCACAACUAAAGAUAUCAGAAUUUACACGAACACAAGUGUAUACACACAAAUACUUAUGUAUACACAAUAAUUUAUGCAGUCUUCAAAAACUUAUUCAAAGAAGGCAUUUGUUACAACAAUAAUUAAAAUUUAGAAGAUUCACUUAUACACAUUAUAGCUACAUAUAUGACACGUAAUACUUUAAUUACUCCCCCUUUACCAAAAUAUAAGACUUUUUUUAGAGUACCAAAAAAAUGUCUUAUAUUCUGAUAUAGAGGCAGUAAUAUUUUAGUACUUUUUCAUGCGGUUAGUUAUCUCAACUAAGUAAUAAAAAAUUAUGCCCGUUAAGUUUAUAAUAUGAAAAACUAAAUUUUAAAAUGUAUAAUUUUUUGUAUAAAAAUAUCUUUAAAUUUUUGGUAAUAUAUAAUUUUUUAUUAAGAGCUAUACCAAGAGGGCAAGGGAGUGGUGCUUUAACAGCAAAAUGAAUCAGAAACGGAAAAUAUGCGUGGGAGAGACGAGUGACAUAGGCACCGUGACCGACUGGACUUGGAAACAGGAUCACGUUGAGCGAGAGUGAGAGAAUUGUGAAGAUGAAGAUAGUGUAAGGUAGUUAAAAAGGUGGAUGUGACUGUCUUCUGCUCAAGCUGGGAGAUAAAAGCAUGGGACACCCUGUGUUUUGCAUGAACUCACUUAAUAUAUGAUAAAUCUAUACCUAUACUAAUUCUGGACUCCCUAGAAAUUCCAAUGUUAAUUAAUAAAUAUGAGCUGUUAAUCUGGUGGGACUGAGUUAUUACGAUGUUGAUUUAAUCAUAUAAUUCUAUGUUGAAGUUCUAUGACGAAAAGGUCCAAGGGAGUUAAUGUACAUGCCGAAAACUAGACGAGAGUAAUAGGCCGACCAUCCCCUGAUUUCACGCCUCUCUCAUAACAGAAAAUCUCUCUUAGGUAAAAAAACAUACAUCUCCGUAACAAAUAUCUCUAUUGAACUGACAAAUCUCUCCCUCGUUGCAUUUUCUAAAAUAAAUAUCUCUCGGCCGGGAACCUCCGCCCCCUCCUCAAGCUUGAUGAACUGACGAAUCCACUGCUGACCUAAACUUCUCCUUCCUUGCAUUAUAUGCGGGCUGCAACGCUGAUCUUGAGAAACAUGUGUUUGCUCCUAUUGAGCCUUCUGCCCCUUACGUCGAUGAUACUAUGAUGUGUUGAUCGACCACAUCUCCCAGUGACUCCUCCGAGCAUGGAAUCCGGAUCUCCCGUCACCAGCGGCGGCAAUAUCUUUCCUCUUACCUAGGUUCUUUAUGAAAGAGCACAUACACUUUAACUACCAGGUCUCCUCUUCUACAUGACCUAGGUACGCUCUCUGUCCCUGUGUACUAUAGUUUUAAGUUCCCAGAUAGCAACAAAAAUAGGUUCUCUUGGUAAGUUAUUUACAGACACUGGCUACAUAUCAGCUUGAAAUAUUCACCAUCGGUUGUCUACUCUGAAAUUAUUAUUUAAUAUCAAUCUGAAAGUUGCAUCAAUACUUCUGUCCUUUAGCCAAUCGGUUCUUCCUCUGGUAUUUGAAUGUGCUCUCAGGUGUUGUAUUUUGUACAUGUGUGAACUGAUAUAAUAUGAAUUUAGCGAGUGAUUUUUCUGUUGCCAUUAUAUUUACUUUUGUUCUUUGUUGAACUAUCCAUACUACUCAGUUAACAUUGUUUUAUAUUAGUCAGGCAUGACGCUCAAACAUUGUUUUAUAUUACCCAUACUACUCAGUUACGACAUGCGCUCAAAUAUUUUCUAUUUAUUUCUGCUAAUAAAGACCUUCCAAAGGAUGGAGUGGUCAAGAAUGUAGAACUGGCCAUGAUUUUUGCUGCUUCAAUAGAUAGCCCUCUUCGACAAUAAAUUUUGCAUACUCUUUCUGUUAGCUACAUGGAUCACAAGCCAUCUAUAUGUUAAUAUUACUACGGUUUGACUUAUAUUAAUUGAAAAGUUCAAUACUUCCACGGCUCAAAUUUGUAACACAUCCAUAACUCGUGUAUCUUUCCUAGUUUCAAGGACAUUCAAACUAAACACCACUAGUGGAAAACGGCCCAUUUGUCCCAGUUUCAGAGGCCCAUUAGCCCCGGUUCUGGAACUGGGACUAAAGGGUCGGGACUAAAGCCCAACACCUUUAGUCCCGGUUCGCUUACGAACCAGGACAAGUGGUGCUCCACGUGGCCGCUGCGGCGAGCCCAGGCAGGAGGGCCUUUAGUCCCAGUUGGUAACACCAACCGGGACAAAAAGGCAUCAACGCGUUAGCUGCUCAGAAGCUGGGUUUUUUGUUUUCAGAUUCUAUUAGAGUUGAUAGAUGUUAUCAAAUCUUGACGAGCCACGAGUUAUGCCUUAUAUAUUGUCUAGAGUGGAUGCAAUUUUUGAGGUAGCUGUGUACAAUAUAAAUGUAUUUUCCAAAAUCAUUGUAAUUAUUAUCACUUAUGGAUCAUCAUUUUUCCGUACUCCCAGAGGGAUCCAUGUACGUCGUAUAAUUCAAGCACGUACCACUUCUAGCACUGGUAGACGAUAACAAUAGAUCGAUCAAUACUCGCCUUAAAUUUAGCUAUACUUACAUGGUCCCAUAAUAAUAUCACCAUAUCGCAAUAUUGCUUUCUGAUAGAUCAUUUCUUUUCCACUCUCUGUAUGUUAUGGUCUUCAAUUUGGCAUGUCUUUCAACCUUUUAUUAGGGCAUGUAGCACGGGAGCAUCACCCUAAUACUGUCUCAGCUCUUAAUGUAAUAAAAAAAGGUAACGAGACCAGCGUUUGUGAAAAUUUCUGGCUAACCGAGGCAACACUAUAGCAGACCCACCUUACAACAUCUCUGUCUUCACAUGCAUAGAGUUUUCCUCUCUCUCUCUCUCUCUCUCUCUCUCUCUCUCUCUCUCUCUCCUCGCAUGCAUCGGUGUAGCUUCUCCUUUCUUCCUUUCUCUCAGCUUUUACACUCGAAGAGGUUGGCUCUUCGGCAGGCUACACUAGCUCCCAUAUGAAGCUACAACUCUUCGUCCCAACCUAGCUCCAAGCCUAUGUGGACAUGUGGGGCAGCACGUUGAGGCUACCCAUUGACCAUGCCCUUAUUGGGAUUGUAGGAGGUCCUAUCUUAUCUUUUUUAUUUUGAACCACGCAUUGUCAACCCGAGUGGCCCUCUACGCAUGGGUGCACAUCCAUUCUUGAUGGUUUCCUUGCACAGAAAAAUGAAUCGCCGAAGCUAAAAUAUCUACAUCGUUAUAAAUAAUGUGGCCCUCCCCCUCUAGGCAUGCAUGCCCAUCCAUCUUGAUAUUUCUCGAUCUUGGACAGAAAAAGUAAUCGUCCAGCCUACCUAAAAUAUCUACAACUGCAUGUGAUCGACAUCUCCAUCACACACUCUAGCUAGUGUGAUCUUCACGAUGAACAAAUAAGGAUAAAUGCUUCUUCGAUUCGAUCUGAACUAUUAUGAGCUGAUCGACCUACCUGGCCAGCCAUCCACCCAACCCGUGAAACGAAAUUAAAGUCGAGUGGUGUAUGAAUUGGAAACGUAUGAUCCAAAUCACAUGCGAUCUGCCUCUUGCUAGCUACUACUGCUCCAUUCCUAAAUAUAAGUCUUUGUAGAUAUUUCACUACAAACUACAUAUGGAUGUGUAUAGACAUAUUUUAGAGUGUAGAUUCACUCAUUUUAAUCCGUAUGUAGUCGAGAGUGGAAUAUCUAAAAAGACUUAUAUUUAGGAACGGAGGGAGUAGAUGGAUGGUGAUGGUGAAGAAAAACAGGUAGGUUGCUCACGUGCAAUAAGUGAUUUCCUAGUAUGCAUGCAUGGUCAACUUAACCAAUUGGGUGCAUCUUAAGGAAGCACAUUAUGUUGUGUCAAUUGGGUAGGUCGAAUGAGAGGGCCCCAUUCGAGUUCAUUUGGGUAGGGCAUGCAUGGUGCAUGUAAUAAUUUAACAUUGUGGCUAUGCAUGAUGCAUGUAUCUUCUGCUCCCUCCGUUCCUAAAUAUAAAUCUUUCUAGAUAUUUCAUUAUGAAUCACAUACGGAUGUAUAUAGAUGCAUUUUAGAGUGUAGAUUCAUUUAGUUUACUCCGUAUGUGGUCUAUAGUGAAACCUUCUCAAAGACUUAUAUUUAGAAACGGAGGGAGUAUGUCCAAUGAUCCUGGGAAUUCAUGUGUAUGCAUGCAUGAGAUGCUUCAGGGUGUCGGUGAACACUAAACUGAGAUAUUUUCAAGUGAAGUGACGCAGCCGCAACAAGUUUUGUAGUGCUUCUCCAACCAAUUGUUCUGAAGCACUUCGGCGAUUGUUUCUCCAGACGUUGUAUUCAGUCCAUGGACGAAAUAGUUCAUUAAGAGCGAACCAAUAUGUGGUUGAAUGAUUAGGAGGACAGUGAUAUUCUCUGUCCACCAGAGUUCAAGUUCCGGUUUUGGCAUUGGUGCUCCAUGGAAGUAGACGUUCUCAUCGAUUACGAAGGCGCCUGUGGCAGUUUCGUUAGUCUCAAGAUGAUAUGCCGACUCAGUUUUUCGCAGGUGCUCAUGGGGGUAUGCUAACUCCAUGCGUAGCGUAGGAGAUGGAUGGGGAAAAGGCGUCACGGGAAGGAAUGAUCCAAUAAAUCCGGAUAGCCAAGAAAAGACACUUCUCUCGAUCGGUCUCCGCCCUCCCAUACCUCCUAAAAUAACGGGAGUUUGCUUCUUUUCGUUCAAUUGUACCUGGCCCAAGCACCUAUCUAUUUAGUACUUUCAAGUACCGCGCAACAACUUUCAAGUAAGAAAGCAACUUGACAUUAUGAUCCCCGAGAAGAGGAUCAUAUUAUAGUAGGUUUGUUUUCCAUUUCCAGGUCCCAUCAUUUUUUUCAGGAAAUUCUUUUUUCAUUUUCCCAUCGGCCUAGUGUGUGUGUGCAUUCAUAGGAAUAAGUGUAUGUCCAUAUGUCUAAGCAUCUGCGUCUGCACUAUUUUUUAAAAAAUAGUUCAUCAACACAAAACAUAUUUGCAGGUUACACUGAGCUGUUUCUUUUUCCUGCCAUGACAUUCGAGUUGCAAAACGACUAGCUUUUGCCAUAUACGUACAGUAAUUUUUUUGCAAAAAAUAUGGGAAAAGAUUCCUUUCAACCGAUCGAUUUUGUGCGAACGUCCGCCGUCCCUAUGUCCGUCGGAUGGACUCUUAAUCAACUGUGGGGAGCUAAUCCCUCCGUGCCCACUUUCUGCAACUGUUUCAUUGUUUCAGAAAGGAAUUUUGCAACUAGCCCCUUGUUGCAAACCGGCCAGCGGCUAGAUACUGCUGCCGCUCGCACAAGGGAGUGCAUUUUUUCAUGCAACACGACCUGCAAAAAACAAAUCCUGCAAUACAACCUAUGUUGCAAAGAAGAAAAUGCAACAUAACCCCUGUUGCAAAUGUUUUCCGCAACAAGACCUUUGCUGCAAAGUAGAGAAACACGUCUGUCUAUUGCGGCUCACACUAGCGAGGGCAAUUUUUUUUCUGCGGCACGACCCAUGUUACAAAAAAAUCCCGCAAUACAACCUAUGUUGCAAAGAAAAAAACACAACAUAACCGUUGUUGCAGAUAUUUCCGCAACUAGUCCUUUGUUGCAAAAUAGAGAAAGACGUUUGACUGAUCGAUUGUAUCAAAUCCAAUGGCUCGCGAGCCGGCGCCGGCGGACGCAUAGCGGUCCCCAAAAAAUAUACUACUACUAUUUUACUGAACCAGUUGCAGCUUCUGUUUCAAGAACGGAGGGAAUAUAAAGACGAACAACAGAAAUGUAAGAACAGAUAGAAAGUCAAGCCCAAUUCAGAAUUUGAUCAAAAAGUUGAGCCCAACUAUAUAAGGAGGCCAACUUGUAGGUCCAAAUGCUAAAUAUUCUCCUCGACCUUGGUAAUUGCGGGGAACUCCUGUACAUCGAAAUCACUAACUAAGGAAUACUCUUUCACUCUCAUCUUUCCAAGUUACGGCAAGUAUCACACUGCUUACAUGCCACUUGUCGUAACCAGCGAGUUUUCCCUUUUUUCGUAACUUUAUCUAUUCAAAACGUUUUAUCUCUUAAACCAUGCAUCCAAAUCUCCAACCAUUUUCACCUUUGGAUUUCUCGUGUGGAGAUCUUCAAAACUAGAUCUCAUAUUGAUAAGUUUCGACAUAUUUUUAAUAAAAAAAAUCGGACAAAAAACCCGAACCAGGUACACGUUUUUUCCCUUUUCGAGAGGCACGACCAUUCCUCUCACGGAAGCAAACCCAUGACUCCAUAACAAUUAAAUCAGUGCCUCUUGCGGAAUGAAAAAAAAACGUUUUUUUUCUUUUCCGAGAGGCACGGCCGUGCCUCUAAUGGAAGCAAAUUUGUGCCUCCACGAGAAACAAAUCCAUGCCUCUCAUGGUAGGAAAAAGGAAAAUGUCUUUUUCCCCUUUUCGUUCCUCUCGUAUACGCAAAUUCGUGCCUCCACGAGAUGUAAAGCAAAUCCGUGCCUCUGUGAGAAGUAAAUCCGUGUCUCUCGUGGUAGAAACAAAACAUGUUGUUUUUUUCUUUUGCGAGAAGCACGACCGUGCCUCUCGCAUAAGCAAAUCCAUACCUCCACCAAAAGUAAAUCCGUGCCUAAGAAAAAAAAUGUGUUUUUCUUUCAUUUUCCGAGCAGGCACGGCCGUACCCCUCGCGGAAAGCAAAUCUGUGCCUCCACGAGAAGUAAAUCCAUGCCUCUUGUGGAAGGAAAACAAAAAAUAAAACAUGUUUUUCCAUGCCUCUCGCAUAAGUAAAUUCGUGCCUCCACAAGAAGUAGAUAUGUGCCUCUCGUAGAAAAAAUAAAAGUGUUUUUAUGCGUAAAAAAUUCCCGUGUUUUUUGCGUCAAAAACCUAAUAAAGCCGAAAACCCAAAAAAAUCAUCUAAAAGCCGAGAACGCGUACAGAAAAAUAAAAUAAAAAACAAAAUCCGAAGGAAGCGCCCAGAGCACGACACGUGGCCCAGUCCACCCCAAAUGAUCCUUGCGGGGUCUCCCUAAGGAGUACUCCUUGAUUAGUCCACCUUGGCACCCACACGCGCGAUCAAGUGGACUGACCCAUUAAAAGCACAAUGCUCAUCCUUUCUUGAUCGCACUCCCUCAACAGAAAUCCCUCUCGAUCUCACAGGCAGGUACACUCGCAUCGCACUCCCUCAAAAAAGUUUUCAAUUUUCAAGAAAAAAUUCACUAUUUAAAAAAUACCAAUUUUGAAGAAAAGCUCACAAAUUUGGAAAAAUUCAUCAAUUUUGAAAAAAAAACAUCAUUAAUUUAUAAAGAAAUCAUUGAUUUUUCAAAAAUGUUCAUGAAUUUGACAAAAGCUUAUGAAUUUUGAAAAAACAUCACAAAUUUUAUAAAAAAAGUUCAUAGAUUUGAAAAUUUCAAUGAUUUUAGAAAUUAUUCAUCGAUUUUGAAAAAAAAUUCACAAAUUUAAAGAAAUUCAUUGAACCAUGUAGAAGAAAAUAAUAAAGGAAAAAGAACAGAGAAAAAUUAAAAAGAAAGAAAGAAGAAAACACGGAAAAAGAUGUAUGAAAUCACAUCAGCAUGAGGUGGCUGGGAUCUUACUGAGGCGUGCAUUGAACUAAGAAUUCCCCGGUUUGAAUGACACACGCGCACAUUUUGUUGCGGUUUAAAAACAGAAAAUAUGGUAGAUGGGCGGGCCCAGUUUGCAGGAUGGGGGCUGUGCGCCCUAAUGCCGUAAUCCUGAGAGAUUCGCCGAUUCUUUUUGUUUUUUCCAAUUUCCUGUCGUUAUUUUGGGUUUCUUCAGGAUUUCAAUUCAUUUUAUCUUUUCUUUAAUUAUUGUCAUUUUCUCGGUUCACUUUAAUAUUUUUUGCUAUCUUUUUCUUUUGAUUCACCAAAAAUUACAAUAUUAAACAUAUGAAUAUAGUAUUUCGAUAUGUGGUGAAUUUUUUAUCUCAUAUACAGUAUAUUUAAAAAAAACAUAUGAACUUUCUAAAAUUGUGAAUACCUUCUUUACAUAUUCAGAUAGUUUCUCUGUACAUAUGAAUAUUUUUCAAAUACACAAUGAAUGUUUGAUUUCGUAUAUAUGAAUAUUUUUUUAAAAAAUUAUACUAUUUUUGAAGUUUUUAAUAAAUGAAUUUAAUACACGGUGAUUAUUUUUUGUUUUGAUGAUAGAGUUCUUGGCUCUCUCGGUGCACAGAGAACAGAUAGAAAGUUAAACCCAACUCACAAUUUGAACAAAAGUUAAGCGCAACUAAGAAAGGGGGCCCAAUUCUAAGUCCAAAUGCUAAAUAUUUGCCUCCUGCUUGGCAAAUCCUGUUUCUUUUGGAUUUAAUCAUUUUUUAUUAUCCCUUCACAUUUAUAUCUCAUUUAUUUAUCUUUUUUCUUUUACUUCAUUAAACUUGCAAAACUGAACACAUGUAUAUAUUUUUUUUUCAAAUAGUUGGUCAUUUUUCUAUCUCAUAUACAAGAUUUACUUAAGAAAUCCAUGAGUUUGAAUAAUUAUGUAAGCAUUUUUACCAUAUUAAAAUAUUUUUUUCUGUACACAUAAUUAUUUUUGAAAUACAUUCUUAAUAAUUUCUUUCAGCUAAAUGAUUAUUUUUAAAAAUAAGAAAAUAUUUUAGUUUAUUAAUACAUUAAAUUAAUUCUUUUAAAUACGUCAAACUUCUUGUACAUUAUGACCAUUUUAUUUAAUGUAUACCAAAGUUCCAUUUCUCCGGCUACAUACAAUAUUUUUUAAUCCAUAACAUUUUAUACUAAUAUUUUAUUAUUUUAUGUAUGUGAACACUUUUUCUUCUUUCCAUUGUUGAACCUGACUUUUAAUGAUAUUAUUUAAAUGAAGAAAAAUAAUAUCAUUCCUAGUUGCUUAGGGCNNNNNNNNNNNNNNNNNNNNNNNNNNNNNNNNNNNNNNNNNNNNNNNNNNNNNNNNNNNNNNNNNNNNNNNNNGGGCAACUUGAACGCUGACCCCUAAAACGGACACUAUAUUCAUCCGCGAAAUAUUUAAAUGGAUCCUUUGAGGGAGGGGGGGGGGGUGUAAGUGACAUCACAGAUAUAUAAGAAUGAUAGACAACUCGUCACAGUUUAAGCGUGCUUGGGUUGGAGAAAGUUAAGUAUGGGUAACCGAGUAGAAGUUGAUCCUAGACUCACAUGAGUGAGGAUAAAAUGUGCAGGAAAGACGAGUGUUUGUCUAGAUCCCAGGAGCAACGGUUGGAAAUCAGUGGGUUUGAUCGAGGCGUUACGCUAAUCAACAUCACACUCCUAGGAAAAAAUGGCCCAGGCUGAGCACCAUAAUGUACCAGGCCUUAAAAAGGUUAGAUUUUGCAAAUUUCACUAUCUAAAAACAUACAAAAGUUUCCAUCUGAAACUACUAUUAUGACAUGAUAAGUAGAUUCAAACACCACGGCCUAAAAAUUGCCGAGACUACAAAAAAUUCCAGAGAAAAAAAUUGCGCAAUGAAUAGAAUGCAUUGCAAUUUUGUAUUAAUAUUCAGGUGUAGACCGCUGAAACUACAAACAUAUUGUUUGCAAUGAUAUGGAGUACAUCAUAAAAUUUGCCAUGAUGUAUAACAUUACCAGAUUCACUAAAACAAAAUAGUGAAAAAAGGAAAACAAAUUAACACACAUACACUUGCCAUGAUAAAACACAUAUAUUUGGCAUGAUAGAUAAUAAUACAAAAAAUAUCAAUAAACAGGGAAAGCACACACAAAUUGCGACAAUAUAUAGCAUAGCAUUGCGGCAUGGCCAUAAACAAGCACAUCAUAAAUUUCUUUUAAGUCGCCAUGAUUGUAGGGAUUUUUCACCCAAAUUUUCCAUGUGAGUAGUGAAACAUUUUCUGUAAUAGAAGAUUGGCAAAAUUUCAUAAACAUGCCUUGUGAAGAGUGCAACAAUUAUCUUACACAUGAAGCCGGUUUCUUNNNNNNNNNNNNNNNNNNNNNNNNNNNNNNNNNNNNNNNNNNNNNNNNNNNNNNNNNNNNNNNNNNNNNNNNNNNNNNNNNNNNNNNNNNNNNNNNNNNNNNNNNNNNNNNNNNNNNNNNNNNNNNNNNNNNNNNNNNNNNNNNNNNNNNNNNNNNNNNNNNNNNNNNNNNNNNNNNNNNNNNNNNNNNNNNNNNNNNNNNNNNNNNNNNNNNNNNNNNNNNNNNNNNNNNNNNNNNNNNNNUCCAUGGCACCAUCAAUUAAUGAAAAAGAAAACAAACAUGAAAAGCACCAAACCAAAACCGAAUAAAGCCCAAAAAAGCAAAACGAGUAAAGAAAAAAAGGAAAAACUUCAUUUUUUUCAGAGAAAACCAAUUUUUUUUUAUAAAAUCGGAACAGAGGUGAGGGGCGAGAUUGUAUUUGAAGCGCCAACUGGCAUGAUUGGGCGCCUGGACCUCUGUUUGGGCCGGCCCAUCCCUUGUUUCUUCCCACACUGGUUUUGGGAAGGUACUAGAAUCUUCUCUAAUUCGUAUAUUUCUUUUUUCAUUUUUUACGUUUUAUUUCGUUUUUUCUUUUUUGCUUUACGUUUUUUUACUUUUUACUUUUCGUUUCAAUUUUACCUUUUUCCUUUACCUUUUUGUUAUUUUCAUUUUACUUUUUCCAAUCCUCUUUUCUUUUUAUUAUUCAUUUGCAUACAUCCAUCAUACACUUGAACAUUUUUAGGAGUCAUGAAUUUUUAUUGAAUUUGUGAAUAUUUUCUAUUAUUUGCAAAAAUAUCUAAAAUAUCUAAAUAUUUUUAAAAAUAGGAACAUUUUCAGAUUCACAAGCAUUUUCAAAUCUGGAUACAUUUUAUUCAACUGAGAACAUUGUUUGACACUCACGAACAUUUUUUGAAUUUAGAACAUUCUUGGGAAUUUAGGAACAAUUUUAAAAUUGAUUAACAUUAUUUUUCUGAUGAACAAUUUUUAAAACCAUGAAUUUUCUUUAAUUGAUGAACCUUUUUUGUAGAGGUGAACCAUUUUUGAAGCGAUGAACUUUUUCUGAAUUUGGGAACGUAUUUGAAAUUCAUGAACAUUUUUUAGUUUUGUGGAAUUUUGAAGUAAUUCAUUGACACUUUUUGUAUACACGAAGUUUUUUCAACAAUAAUGAACAUUUUUUUAUGUCUCAAACAAUGUUUUUCCAAAAUCGUUAACAUUUCUAAAUAUGGGAUCAUUGUUUGAAUCGCAAACAUCUUAUGAUUUCCCAAUCAUUUUUCGAAAGCAUGGACAUUUUUUUGAAUUCAAGAAGAUUUUAUUUUGCUUGUACCUUUUUUGAAAUGUCACAAUUUGCACUCUUAUUUAAUCCCGGAUUAUUUUAAAGAAGAAAAAAUUAGAAAAGCAAAAAAAGCAAAAAAUGAAAUGAAAAACACAGAGGGCAUCCAACCCCACACGUGGGCCGGCCGAAAAAGGCGCGCAUAGGAGCGCGGGCAUUCCGCGUCUUCGCACGCGCACAUUGCCAAAUAGGCACUCUGACACGUCUCCGCCGUAUCAAUAAUUUUUUAUUGUUUCGUGCCAAUAUUAUACAACUUUUACAUACUUUUAGCAACAUUUUAUAUUAUCUUUUGGGGACUAACAUAUUGAUCUAGUGCCGAGUGCCAGUUCCUAUUUUUUGCAUGUUUUUUGUUUCACAUAAUAUCCAUAUCAAAUGAAGUCCAAAUGCAAUAAAUUUUUACGGAGAAUUAUUUUUAAAUAUAUGUGAUUUUUGGGAGGUCGAAUCAAUGCAAAAGGAGGCCCACAACCCCCACAAGACACCAGGGCACGGCCCAGCCCCCAGGCGCGUGGUGGACACCUCGUAAGGCGGUUGCUGCCUUCUUCGGGCCCAAAGGAAGCUUAUAUCCGGAAAAAUAUCAUGUUAAAAUUUCACCGCAAUCGGAGUUACGGAUCUCUGAAUAUUUAAGAAAUGGUUUUCGGCCAGAUCUGGGGAAUGCGAAACAGAAGAGAACAGAGAGGGAGAUCCAAUCUAGGAGGGGCUCCUGCCCCUUCGCCUCCAUGGCAACCACGGACCAGAGGGGGAACUCUCCUCCCAUCUAAGGGGAAGGCCAAGGAAUAAGAAGAAGGAUGGGGGCUCUCUCCCCCUCUCUCCCAGUGGCGCCGGAACGCCGCCGGGGCAAUCAUCGUGUGACGGCAAUCUACUCUAACAACUCUGUCAUCAUCACCAACAUCUUCAUCACCUUCCCCCAUCUAUCUACAAUGGUCCACUCUCCCGCAACCCGAUGUACCCUCUACUUGAACAUGGUGCUUUAUGCUUCAUAUUAUUAUGAUUUUUGUUGUCCUAUCGGUAAUUGGUGAAUUGUUAUGAUUGGUUUAAUUUGCUUGUGGUUAUGUUGCUGUCCUUUGGUGCCCAUCAUAUAAGCGCGCGUGUGGAUCACACCAUUGGGUUAGUUAUAUGUUGGUAGGACUAUGCAUUGGAGGGCAAGGGUGACAGAAGCUUCUUCCUACAAUAGAAAUUGAUGCAUACGGGAUUGAAGGGGGACCAAUAUAUAUCUUAAUGCUAUGGUUGGGUUUUAACUUAAUGAACGUUAGUAGUUGCGGAUGCUUGCUAAUAGUUCCAAUCAUAAGUGCAUAGAAUUCGAAGUAAGGGUCGACAUGCUAGCAGUGGCCUCUCCCACAUAAAAACUUGCUAUCAGUCUAGUAACGUAGUCAAUUGCUUAGGGACAAUUCCGCAAAUCCUACCACUACUAAUCCACACUCGUUAUACUAAUUUAAUUGUACUUUAAUUUGAACAGCACCUACUUUUUAUUUUUUACGUUGUUUAUUAUCUUACAAACUUAUCCCUUUACACCUACAAAAUACUUUUAGUUUUAUUCUUGUUCUAGGUAAACCAAACGUUAAGCGUGCGUAGAGUUGUAUCGGUGAUCGAUAGAACUUGAGGGAAUAUUUGUUCUAUCUUUAGCUCCUCGUUGGGUUCGACACUCUUAUUUGUCGAAAAGGGCUACAAACGAUCCCCUAUACUUGUGGGUUAUCACGCUCCAGCACCAAAUAGCAUAUUCCUAAUCUCUACGUGCACGAAUGAGCCGUGUCGAUUCAGCGACUUAAUGCAUCGUUCCAGCCUAGGGUGGUCGCACGCGGAAUAGGUGCUCCCUUAGAGCAUCAACAACCAGAUGUCCCAUAUUCGGCCCAAACAUCUGGGCGGCUUACGCGGUCACUACCCGGAUGGAAAAUGUCACCCAACCGGACUGGGCAAAUCAACCAAAUCGGGCGACCCCCAUACCUGCCACGUAGGACUGACCAAAAGGGCCCAUGCCAAAUUGCUUGAAGACAUCCCCCUCCUUGCCCAGUUCCUCUUCUCUUUUCUCCUUUGUCCAUAUAGUCGUCAUCGUACCUCCUCUGCCAUCAUUGCUCUGUUGUCAUCCCCAACUCACAGCGCUGCCACAGAGACCCCAACCAUGCCGCCACCGGACAAGGUCGCCCCGUUAUGUCCAUCUCCUCCGAAUAUACCCCACGGGAUAGAAUCCCCGACGAACAAAUUUUAUACACGGACUACUUCACACUGGACCAAACAUACCGUGAAGAUUUCUUUCGAUGUCACUUCCAAAUGAGCAGAUCUAUGUUCUUGCGUGUUGUGACUACCUUGGAGAAGGCUGAUGCCAAUGUCAAACUGAGAAAGGGUUGUUGUGGUAAACUUUCCUUCUCUCCUCUGCAUAAAUGCGCGACAACUCUUAGGAUGCUUGCUUAUGGUAAGGACGCAGAUGCAAUUGAUAUAGAAAUCAGGAUGUGAGGGAGCAUAUGCUUGAAGACUACGGUGGAAUUUGCACGCACCGUGGUGAAGGUGUUUGGACCAUAUUUCCUGAGAGAACCAGCUUUGGAGGAGACAGAAGAAAUGUUGGCAAUUGGAGCAUCAAGAGGAUUCUCAGGUAUGCUCGGUUCAGUCGAUUGCAUGCCCUGACAAUGGAAGAACUACCCCAAAGGUUUAUGUGAGCAGUACCAAGGUCACACCGAAGAAGCCACCACCAUACUUGAAGCAAGGGCAUCGAAGGACUUGUGGAUUUCACAUGCAUAAUUUGGCACACAAGAUUCUAACAAUGACAUCUGCUCCAAUGAUCUCCUUUGUUCAAAGAGACCUUGUGAUGGGGAAGCUCCGUCGUGCAACUACACCGUCAGCGGGCACAAAUACAGCAUGGGGUACUACCUUGGCGAUGGUAUCUAUCCUUAAUGGCAGUGUUUGUGAAGACUACCUAAUCCUCAUGGUCGGAAACAAUGUCUCUUUGCACAAGCUCAAAAGGUGCUAGGAAGCAUGUGGAGAGGGCAUUCGAAGUGCUCCAAGCUCGCUGGUGUAUUGUUUGUGGAGUUGUAAUGAUGUGGGAAGUGGAGACACUUUGGCAGUUAAUGACAUGUUGUGUAAUAGGAUGAGGGUUAAGAGGCAGCCCACACGCAUGAUUUUCAGAAUCCCAGAGUUCAGGUCCACCUCCUGGAACAAGAGGCAAAGCAUAUUGCAAACUUUCUUGAGAUGCAUUGACCACUUCGAGAUCAACAGACGCAUUAUGCAACUUCUCAAUAAUCUUGGGGGCAUAUGUGAAAUCACCGAACUAUGUUUUUCUGUUUCAAUUAUACACUAUAAACAAAUUUUAUGUUUGGUUUAUUUAUUUUUCUGUAUGAAUAAUUUGUAUGUUUAUGCGCUACUCAUUAUUUGUGUGUGAUGAUCAAUCAUGCAUGUGCUUGCAUGGAUUUGAGGUUUUAAAUUAAGGCUUGUGGUUGCAAAUGGUGUCAAAGGGCCGGACCGGCUCUAUCGUGCGUGCAUCCGAGCGUUUUUGCGGACUUGUAGGGGAAAGGAUUUGCCCAGUCUAGUUGUAGAUGCUCUUAGGACAUCUCCAAUGCGACCAUCAAAAUUUUCCCUGUGUGUACGCCCGGAAUCUUAUAAACCGUCCCAAACCAAGGGGAAGGGAGGGGGAGUGCUAGGGUGUUUGGGCGCCCGCACAAAUUGAGCCUCAAACCACGGCCACAAAUCCGUGUUUCGCUCUCCCUCCGUCUCUCUCCUCUUUCACCGAAGGAGCGAACAUUUUGUGAAUACCGUCGGAUGGUUGGCUACCAUUUCACUGCCUACAAGCACGUCGCCCGCGGAAAUUUGAUGAUAUCUUUUUUGUUGAUCUGCGUUAGUGAUGCCCUUACAACACCGAGUGCUGUGACAGCAGAGGGCCGCGGCUCAAGGGAAUCUUUCUCAUAUGGUCCAUCAAGCAGUACUAUACGCACCAGAUGCUCUUCUUAGAGAGAGCGUAUUAUGUUGCGAUUCAUUCACAUCUCGUGCAUUGUAUCACCGUACCAUGCAUGCAUCGUAGACGCCGAGUCACGAAACCAGCCUAGCCGCUUUUGUCGCCUCUCAUUGCAUUAGCUGUGUGCUGUUGAUAUUUUUUGCUCUACUACUCCUUGAACCACACAUUCCUAUUUUGGCAUGCUGUGGCAGACCAGCCGCCGCGACACCCAGCCAGUCGUACGCACGUAUACCCCACCACCCUAGUACCUCGGACCACUCAUGCUGGAUCUACGAAAGCAAUACUACUGUAUCCACGCUCAUGAUUUCGUAGUGAUUCAUCAGGAAAACGGAUGUGCCAAAGUAAACAUUGGAUAUCAGCCGGCCGGUUGCACUGCUCGCUCCCCCGCCCGUUGAUCGGCUCUCCUACCUCGCCUCAUUACGUACAAACAGAUGUACGCGGUGAUUUCAUAGUAUAAUUCAGUAAAGUCCCAAGUCACAUGCAAACAUGCAUGCAAUGACGUAGACACGAGGGCACGGUACUACUCACAACCUAGGACAGUGGCGCUUCGCUGGUGACAACUGCCAUUGUCGCAAGGCCCCAAAGGCGCGUGGAAAACGGGCCGAGAGCGCCCCACUCCGUGGACGAUAAAUACGCACGCACACACGGCAACUCUCUCUCACACACACAAGUCCGGCGAGCUUCUUUCUAAUAACACUCCGUCGUCCCCUACAAGGCUACAACCCAAGAAGCCUUACAGCGCCGGCCAUGGCCUCCUCGUGGUCCACCGGCCUCUUCGGCUGCUGCGACGACGUCAGCGGCUGUAAGCUUAGCCAACUCCCUCCCUAGCUAGAGAAACACUGGAAAAAUGUAUACUUUUGGUUGGUUAUGAACUUGUGCAUUUGUGCUGCAGGCUGCCUGACGUGCUUUUGCCCGUGCGUCGCCUUCGGGCGGAUCGCCCACAUCGUCGACAAGGGAACCUCAUGUGAGUUCUUCUUAUUCUUCUUGCUGUAAAUUUUGUGCAAAUUAACGUCGUCGGUCGAAUGAUGUAAACUUGUGCUGAUCGAACGAACGAACUCAGCUUGCUGUGUGCGUGGGACGGCGUACAUGCUGCUGGCCUGGGUGGGGCUGGGCUGCCUAUGCUCCUGCUGCUACCGCUCCAGGAUGCGGGAGCAGUACGGGCUCAAGGAGAAGCCCUGCGCCGACUGCUGCGUCCACUUCUUCUGCGACCCCUGCGCCCUCUGCCAGGAGUACCGCGAGCUCAAGAGCCGCGGCUUUGACAUGAGCCUCGGUAUGUACCACACUACACAAUCCUUCCUUUGUCAGCCUUGCUCAUUGCGUUGCCGUGCCGGGUCACCAUUGCCGUUUGCGUUUUGUUGAUGACUUUAAAUUGCGGCGCACUUUCGGAGCUGGGUGCGUCGUCGUGAUUAGCUUUAAGUUUUUGGCUGCUCAUGCAGGGUGGCACGCCAACAUUGAGAGGAUGGGGAAGAGCGCUCCGACUGCUGCUCCUCAGGCUUACCCGGGGAUGACUCGCUAGUCAGCUAGUGUGUCCGCCAUCCAGCUCAAGAGAAAAAAGGAUGCCAUCUACCAGCUUCUACUUUUGUGUUGUAUUGUUGUGAGUUAGUUAAUUUGGAGUGAAUUACAGAAAACAUCGACAUUGAAGGCUAGGGUUGCAGAAACCACAAUUCUAUAGUUUUAUGCCAAAAAUUACUAAUUUCGAGGCUAAUUUUUUGCAAAAAACACUAGUCGAUGGCUUAGGUCGUUUUGAGCACGAUUAUGACAAUUGGGUCCCGGUGGACAGGGUGACAUGGCAGGACAUAACAGAUCACAAAUAGAUAGAACAUCAUAGACUAAACUGUAAAAGGGCAUAAGAAAGAUAAAAUCAUCUUUUCAUAUAAAAAAGAAAGAGGAGGGAAUCGCGAGUUCGCGACAGAGAGCAGCAACGGCCUCCGCAGCCGGCGCGCUCGAGCUCGCCGGUGUGUGGGCCGAGGCCGCCGUGGCAGCCGGAACCGGCGCCGUCCAUCGCCGCAGAGCCACCCACCGCCGUCGACGUACACCCUGGCUCCACCGGCGCACUCCAAUCGCCGUCGUCGCCGUGCUGCCCCGUCGUUGACUGGAUCAAGGAGCCGGCGCGCUCGAGCUCGCCGGCAUGCGGGCCGAGGCCAGCUUGGCAGCCGGAACCGGCGCCGUCCGUAGUCUCAGAGCCACACACCACUGUCGCCGUGCACCCUGCCUCCACAGGCGUACUCCAGUCGUGCUCUUCGCCGCCCCCGUUGUUGACUGGACAAGGAGCCGGCGCCACCAACCCAGGGACCUUCGCGCCCAAACCAGCCACUCCCCAGCCUCGUCGUGUCGACCCGCACCGGUUCCGGCGGGAUCCGGCCGGGAAUCGAGCCACCGCCACCCUUGACGGUCCGCCCAGCGAACCCUGAUGCUUGAACCCGACCACUGCCUCGCCCCCGCCAGCCAGGCAAUCGAGCCGUCCUGCCCGUCCCCGACCAUGCCGGACCUGCCCUGUGCCUCGCCGCCGGAGCUAGCAGCAGAUGCGCCGGCCGCACACGGGGAGGGAGUGGCCGCAUGAAGAGCACGGAGGACCCGAUUGCUUUUUUUCAGGGGUCUUCUUGCGAAAGAAAAUUAUAUCAGGAUGUAAUUAGAUUUUUUUGUUUGCCAUGUCACCCUGUACAGCGGGGCACACCUGUCAUAAUCAUGCUCAAAACGACCUAAGCCAUUGACUAGUUUUUUUGCAAAAAAUUAGGCUCGGAAUUAGUGGUUUUUGGCACAAAACUGUAGAAUUGUGGUUUCUGCAACCCUAGCAUUCAAUGUCGAUGUUUUUUGCAAUUCACUCGUUAAUUUGAGUUUGUCAUCGUGUGUGUGCCUUUCUGUUGCAACUAGUUUUCCAUCCACACCAUCUGCGAUGGUGUUUAGAACUUUCAAUAAGAUCAAUCGAAUCCUUGUUUGGAAAUAGAUCAAUCCACCUUGUUUAUGUAGCAUAAUGCUUUAUUAACUUGUAGUUACUGUUGAAUCCAAAGAAACUAUUAUUUACUCUUAUUAAGCAUGCCAGUGUGAAGUGCAAUGUAUAUGAGAAGUGCCGACUACUGUCAACUUCUAUUCACUCAAUAAUUUCUCAUUAGGAAAACAAACAAAUGAAAAGCUAGUACACGGAGUAGUUAAUUAAAUUUUUGAUGCUAAAUAAAAAAAGAGUACAUGGACAUAAAUGGCGCCAUCGUAAACUCCUCAAACAAAUUUCCUGUCAGAAAAAAGGUCCCCAACCAAAUUAACCGAGGUAGGCUUUGCUUCAAUACUCAAAAGCCAUUUCAAUGUUAUCGAUCGAACGGUUGAGUGUAUAAAUACAAAUGCAUGCAUAGACAGUGGGUGCAUAUAGUUUGAAUUACCUCCAUCAUGUGACUAAUGUACUAAGACCACCGCAAAGAAAAAUGUACUAAGACUGUAAACCGUCCGCUUCAAUGUUGUCCAUAUCUAAGCAUUGGCUUUUUUUUUGUAUUUACGGCCUUAAGUGUAUAAUGAAAAAGAACCCAUGGUCCACAGCCCCACUUCCCUCUCCAAUCAUUCAAUCCAAUUUAUUUAAAUAUUUCCCCAAAACCAGGAAAAUAUUUUGAAGCGGAUAUCUGAUUGGGGUAUUUAGAACCGAAUGACUGAUUCAGAAUCUCAGCAUCUACUUCAUCUUGUUGAUCUCUUUGAAACAAGAUUAAUGAUAAAUUCGUAGUCAAAAUUUGAACAUUCGGUAUUUGAAAUUCUACCAAAGAAUUUAUAAAUAUUGAAGCCAUGAUUUUAUUCAAGGAGGAUUCAUAAAAGGAUUUCAACGAGGUUCACUCCGGUUUAUGAUUUCAUGCUGGUUCAAGUGGAGUUUCAUAGUAGUUUGAGUUUCACUCGGAUGUUCGAUGAAAAACAUGAAUGAAGCCUACGUGAAAUGUGUGCUCGAUGAGAAACACAAGCGAAACGUAUGUGAAACUUAUCAAAAACCUGUAUGAGACAUGAUCGAGUGAGAACCUAUGAUAAACCUAGGCAAAACAUAUGUCAACCUGUGAAUGUUGAUGUAUCCAAAACAUAUUGUUAAUUGUAAAGUAUAAUGUUGACUUGUCAAAACCUACUAAUAGUUGCUAAAAGUGCGUAGGUUCUUGAUUUGUCAGUUAUGUGGGUAGAAACUUCAUGAAAAGUGGAUAAAACUCUAGGAAACUUGUAAUUUUGAGUUGUUUUGAAUUUUUCUCCAGAAAAAGGUCUAAGUCUUGAUUACGGAUUCAAACAUAGGAAGUCAAAACAUCAAGGUUGUUCCUCUCGUCUGUGGAUCCUAAUGCAAAUUUAAACACCCAAAUAGGAAUUCAGAUGUAGUAUGUGGUUUGAUGUCGUUGUUUAGUGGGCGGGGCUGGACGGGAUUGACAUUAACGAAGUCCUUACAUGAUGUAAUUAAAUGUAAAUAAAAUGAAUGGAUGGGUUUUGGAGGAAGAAGAAUGAGUUUUUUUUAGCAAAGAUAGCUAGCCUUUAUUGAUCAUCUAAAAUGUUUGUAGGUAUUACAAGAGUAUCAUGUGGAAUACCUAACCAAAUAUGUCUCCCUACAGGCAGAGAGACACCAUACCUAGCUAGCUUAUGGGCUUCAAAAUUUGAAAACCUAGACUCGUAGUUGAAAGUACAAGAAAUAAAAGAUGUUGUGGUCUCAUGAAUCUCUUUAAUAAUCCCACCUUCUCCCCCAGACUUCUGCUGAAUAUGCUUCACUGCUUGCUCGCAAUCAAAGGCUGUAAAUAAAUGUUGUAGGUUCAAGUCGUGUGCCAAAGCUUGAGCUUCUCUACAGGCAACAACUUCUAGCACUGCAGGUUCAAGCAGGCCCUUGAUAACCAAGAUCGACGAGCCAAGAAAACUACCAUCCCGGUCCCUACAUAUAGCUGCUGCAGUGCCGGUUCCAUGGUCCUCUGAUACACCUGCAUCCACAUUUAUUUUGACAGUUCCCUCUGGCGGUGGUCGCCAAACUCUGGGUGACACAACCCUUGGCGCCGGUAUCACAUGUUGAUCCUUCUUUUGUUGUAGCUGAUCUAGCUCUGCUAUGAAACGAGUGACAAAAAGAUGAGUUGACAAGGGACUUUGGUUAAUUCCCUCAUGUAUCAACUUUCGUCGAGCAUACCCAAUAGCCCAUAAUGUCACCGUCAUCCGUGUCACCUCCUCAUGGUUGAGGACAUCAGACAUGGAGAAAAGCCAUCUUUUUGCUGUAGGAUCGGCAGUGGCGAUCAUGUGCUCCAGAAGUUCAUGGUCGACCAGCGACCAGACACAUCGAGCCAUAUUGCAUUCAAGCAAACUAUGCCUCCAAGAAUCUUGCGUCCCACACACAGGGCAAAGAUCACUCGUAGACAUGUUCCUAUGUUUCUGACAUCCUCAGUCGGGAUAGAAUGCUUUGCUAAUCUCCAUAAGAAUACUUUUAUCUUCGCCGGCACUAGUACACCCCAUAACUUUACCCAAGAUUUUUCAUUAGCUGCAUUGUUUGAUGGUCCUGCCCGCUCGUCCAGCCAAUCUUCUCUUCUACUUUUUGUAGCCACAACCAUCCUAUAUGCUGACCAUACCGAGAAAGUGCCAUUCUUCUCAAAACCCCAAGACCAAAAGUCCUCAAUGUUUCGGUACAAAUUGGGAUUUUUUGGAUUGCAGCAGCAUCAUAUGGCAGAAAUACUUCCUCAAGUAGUUGGACAUUCCAUCGAGCAUUAACGGGUUCAAUGAGCUUCGACACAAACUGCGGUGGAUUUGGUACCAAAGAGACAAUAGGUCUCAUAUUCUCCUUCCGUGGUAUCCAAUUUGAACUCCAUAUGCUGGUGGUUUCACCAUUCCCUAUGCGCCUGAUAAGUCCUUGUUUCAAGGUAUCCCUCCCUUCAAUUCCUGCCCUCCAAAUUUGUGAUGGGUGAUUGCCUAACUGUGCUGAAAGGAAAUCUGUUUCUGGGAAGUAAACCGAUUUUAGAAUUCAAGCACUUAGCGAAUCUGGAUUCCAAGCCUGCCUUGCCAGUAACGCUAGGUUAAAUAUCUCAAAAUCUCAAAAACCGAGACCUCCCAUGUAUUUAGGCAUGCUCAUGGUGUCCCAUGAUACCCAAUAGGGCUUUCUUUUGCCUCUCUUGCUGCCCCACCAGAAGGCUUUAAUCAUGGAUGUUAAAUGUUGGCACAAUCCUCGUGGCAAUUUAAAACAUGACAUAGAGUACACCGGUAUUGCUUGGGCAACUGAUUUUAUCAAUACCUCCUUACCGGCUGCAGACAAUAGCUUCUCCAUGCACCCUUUUAUCGUACUCCAGAGUCUAUCCUUGAGAUAUUUAAAAGCUCCAUUCUUGGAGAGCCCAACAUCAGAUGGCAUUCCAAGGUACUUCUUGUUUAGCUGCUCAUUAGGGAUAUGCAAAAUCUGUUUAAUUGCCCCCUGACUCCAUCAGGACAACCUUUGCUAAAGAAUAUAGAUGAUUUAUCUCUGUUAAUUCUCUGACCAGAAGCUAGUGCAUAUGUUUCCAAAAGAUGAGAAACUUCUUCAGCUCCCUCUGUAGUUGCUUAAAAAACAGCAGGCUGUCAUCUGCAAAUAUAAAAUGGUUCACCGGCGGAGCCGAUGUGGCCACCUGAAUACCACCGAGACUAGAUGACUGAUCUCUAGAUUUUAAAAGGCACGAAAGGCCCUCUGCUACCAGCAAAAAGAGGUAUGGUGAAAUAGGAUCACCCUGACGGAUUUCACGUGUAGGCUUAAAUUCAUCAAGCUUCUGUCCAUUAAAAAGGACCGAAAAGGAUACAUAAGUUACCAUGUCCAUCACAAUAUUGACCCAUCUCUCUCUGAAUCCCAACUUCAGCAUAAUGGCUCUUAGAUAAUUCCAUUCGACCCUGUCAUAUGCCUUCAUCAUAUCCAAUUUCAAAGCGCAGUGUUUGUGUUUUUUUGCCUUAUUUCUUUUCAUAAAAUGGAGGCACUCAUAAGCAGCAAUAAUGUUGUCAGUGAUCAAAUGCCCCGGGACAAAGGCUGAUUGCUCUUCAGAGGAAGAAGAAUGAGUGGCUUAUAUAGCUUCCCCCAAAGCCAACCAUUAUCUACUCUCUCUUUGUGCCUAGUAGGCCCAGUGUAUCCUGAAGAUCUGGGCAUCCGGAAGCCCAGAGGUGCUAGAGCCCAAAGCUCCGGCCUCACCAGAGGAGAAACAAAGGCCUAUCCAGAGCCGCGGCCAAGGGGUACCCCUGGAGGCCCGGGGUCACGGGCAAUUCCUAUUUAGCGCUGCAGGCGCCGGUUAUAGGCUGUUUCUGCAAACCGGCGCCUGCAGCAGCGUUAGCUGGGCUCGGGCCAUUCCAUUUUUUCCGUCGUAAACAAAAAUUUAUACACGUCUUAGUAGGGAUUCAAUCCUCCGACCUCCCGGUCAUUGGCACGAGGCACUAACCAACACAUCACCUAGCCUUAGCUGCACAGUUAUAGCUUCUUCUUCUCUUUCUUCUUACGUAGUUUCCUUUUUCUAUUUCUUUUCCAUUUUUAUAUUUUCGAUUUUCUUUUUUAUUCAAAAAGGUUUUUGUUCUGUUUUUUUAUUCUUUUUCUUUUUAUACGAAAUGCUUUUGUUUGAUUUUUUUUAUUCCUCUUCUUUUUUCCUUUUGCUAAUUUGAUUGAACAUUUUUUCAAAAUAGAUGAACUCUUUUCAAAAUCGAUGAACUCUUUUCAAAAUCAAUGAACUUUUUUUUAAAUUGAUGAAAUCUUUUCAAAAUUAAUGAACUCUUUUUUCAAAAUUGAUGAACUCAUUUCAAAAUCGAUGAACUCUUUUUCAAAUCGAUGAUUUUUCUUUUUCAAAAUCGAUGAACUUUUUUUAAAUUGAUGAACUCUUCUCAAAAUUGAUGAACCCUUUUUGAAAAUCGAUGAACUUUUUUCAAAAUCGAUGAGCCUUUUUUUUAAAAUCGAUGAACACUUUCUAAAAUCGUUGAACUCUUUUUUAAAUCGGUGAACUUUUUUUCAAAAUUGAUGAACUUUUUUUUCAAAAUCAAUGAACUUUUUUUAAAUUGAUGAACUCUUUUCAAAAUCGAUGAACUCUUUUUGUAAAUCGAUGAGCUUUUUUUAAAAUCGAUGAACACUUUUAAAAAUCGAUGAACUUUUUUCAAAAUUGAUUAUUUUAUAAAAUGAUGAACUUUUCUAAAAAACGAUGAUCUUUUUAUCAAAUUUACUUUUUUUCAAAGAGAUUUAUUUCGGUUGUACGUUAACGUUUUAUUAAAGGAAGCACUAACUACGUCGGGUUUGCACAUCUAUACAAAAGAGCCAGCAUGGUCUGGUGGUUAAUGCGUUUAGUUAUGAUCGCUGAGGUGCUAGCACCAACCGGCGCCUGCAGCGCUGAUUAGGAGCACCCGGGGUCACGAGCCUAAGCUUUGAGGUGUCUCGAGGAAAAACCAUAUGAACCCCAGAGGCCCAGGGCCCUAGACCACGGAGCUUCAAGUAUCCCGAGAGGGAUAUCAUAAAUCAUUUGGGGAGGGGUUAACUGAAGAGGCUAUUUGUGUAUGGCUUUUUAGCAUGGUUUGAUAUGGAAAAUUGGAGUGCAUGCCCCCCAUGGUUAUACACGACCUCAACCCCUCUUAACAGUGUGGNNNNNNNNNNNNNNNNNNNNNNNNNNNNNNNNNNNNNNNNNNNNNNNNNNNNNNNNNNNNNNNNNNNNNNNNNNNNNNNNNNNNNNNNNNNNNNNNNNNNNNNNNNNNNNNNNNNNNNNNNNNNNNNNNNNNNNNNNNNNNNNNNNNNNNNNNNNNNNNNNNNNNNNNNNNNNNNNNNNNNNNNNNNNNNNNNNNNNNNNNNNNNNNNNNNNNNNNNNNNNNNNNNNNNNNNNNNNNNNNNNNNNNNNNNNNNNNNNNNNNNNNNNNNNNNNNNNNNNNNNNNNNNNNNNNNNNNNNNNNNNNNNNNNNNNNNNNNNNNNNNNNNNNNNNNNNNNNNNNNNNNNNNNNNNNNNNNNNNNNNNNNNNNNNNNNNNNNNNNNNNNNNNNNNNNNNNNNNNUGUUAGUCCCUCUAAUCAUACACAUCCAGCACUGAAAGACAUAUAGGGAGGAAACGGAGGAUCUACUUGGAGAUGUUACUUGCCUAUGGAAUCUAUGAAAAUGAUGCUCGAUCAAAAAAGAUCACCAAAAGCGAUAAGCCGAUAACUAUGAGGGCAACCAAGAAAAACAUGUGCUAACAUUCAUGGAACUGGUAACAACUUGGAUGGGAUCCAAGUGGAACAAGCUUUUCUUGAAAAAGAUGAUUGCCAUAUAAAAACAUCCACAUGCUUGGCAAAAAUUAAGAAAAGAAUUCCCGUGUAGAAGAUGUUUUUUCCCAACAAGAUAUUGUUAAGUACACAGAAAAGUGUAGGCCACAAAAUUAGCUAGAAUUUAUACAGACAUGCCUGAACAAAAAAAAAAUCUCUUGAAGCACAAUAUUGAUAAAGGAUAACAAAAUGAAAACAACUGAGAAAGUAAAAAAUAACACACUUAGAAUGAACGAA